rnacentral:lncRNA from 1 species
CAGGUGAGUGCACACAGCGGGCGUGGGAUGCUGCGGGGACAGUGCGGGGGACAUCAGGGUCCUCGAAUGCAGACGUGGAUUUGUGUGAUGUCUAGGUCAAGCUUGCAGAGCGAUUCCGAGGUCUCUCGCACCCUCGGCCUUCUUUCGAUGCUCCUACUGGUCCCGGGCUUGGGCGAGAGCUUUGAUUUGGGGUGGGGGGUAGGGCUUUGGGAAAUUCUUGUCUUGAGAUACUUGACAAAGGUUGCAAAGACAUCAGGUGGGAAUGUGUGGCUGCAGCUGUCAGGGGCUAGACAGGUGUGCUUGCGUGUGUGGGGCUGCGUGUGUGGCGAAGCCUCUGUGGCCGGUCAUUCCGUUCCCGAGUACCACUUAUGUGCUAGAGAGAGAAAUUGAGCGACUCUGAGGUGGUCACUAGACGUUGCGGCAGCAAACCAGUGGCCCUCGGUAUUUCUGAUAUGCUCCUGUAGUAACAGAAGUGCAGAUGGCUCAGUAAAAGAGUGUGUGAGGUUUUAAGGCACCCAGAAAAUAUUCUUUUAUCUUUUAACUUUGGGGCAGAAAUGAGUAUUCAAAGUGCUGAAUCAUGCAAAAAGAUGUGAAAAAUAAUUUACUUUGUGUUUUGGUAAAGUUUUCCCAAGAUAAUAAUAUCUGCUUAUUUGACAAAUUCCUUAAGGCACAGGUAUUUGAAUUGUAUUUUGAGACUGCCUUUGACUUUAUGGCUAUCCAUUGCUUUCCUUGAUUUAUGAUGAGUUGUAUUUACUCAUUAUUUCUUACCAAGCUUCCUCCCCACUCCAAACAAACAAAAAUAUUAAGGGGGGGAAAGGGGUCUUUUUCUGGUGUGCCUAUGAUUGUAAGAGUGAAGGAAGCAGUCCUGGGAAACAAAAAACAUCCUCCUUUGAGGAGUGCAAUGAUGGCCAAUUUGAUUUGUCAUGUGCCACUGAAGGGAAUGUCAAGCUGAUAACAUGCAGACUGGAGAGAAAAUGAAGCAGGAGUUGCCCAUUUAGGAAUAAAUAAGCUCUAAUUCAAUUGCACUCAGUAAAAGAGCUGAAGGGUAGUAGGUCCACACCCCAGCCUAAUUUUUCUUGGUAGAGCUGGGAGGGUGCAGUUUUUGAUGCCAGUUCUGAGGUCAGACACCAAAGAUGAUUAAAAAAAAAAAAAAAUCAGUCAGGAUUAGUAAAAUGGGUGUGUCCAAAGACAGCUCUUGCCCAUUUACUCUUUCUGCUCCUACUGAACUGCUUAGUGGCCUGCUGACUCAUAAGGGAACUAGCAUGGCUUAGCAUGGUGGGAUUUUACUUGUAGACUUGAACUGUACUUGUAAAAAAAAAUUAAUAAAUUAAUAUAAGCAUCACCAGAGACAUUCAUAGAGAAGUUAGUCUCCCCCUCACUUUCUUCUCCAGGGAGGUAUUUCCCAGUCCCUUGACUUGUCACCUUCAUUUCGAUACCUGUCAUCCAUGCUUGUGCACAGCACAUUUGGUUUGACACAAAGGUUUAAAGCUAAAUCCUAAUAUUAAAAAUAAAAGUGGCACUCUUAACAACAUGAUUGUUUCAAAGGUAUUUGUGAAGGAUACUGGAAAACUAGAAUAUGAAGGAUUAAUUGAGUUUUCUUUACAGCACAGAUUCCCUUCCCCUUGCUUUGCAAGACCAGGGCCCCACCCUGUUUCUGAGCAUCUGCAUGAAAGACCAGGAAAGGAAUUCAACAAUUGCAGUGGUGCAGGGAGGGGCAGUGUCUAGGCUUGGGUGUUACCUUUAUUUAAAUAAUUACUAACAUUUCGGAGGGUAAGCUUUAAUCCAUAAGUAGUUCUUGAAAGCAAAGUGUUAUUCCAUUUCACCAGUCAUCUUGUUAAAAUGUACAUUUAACUUUGAGAGGUUGAUUUUGAUGGAAAAAAAAGAUAUGAAGCAAGAGCCGCUUCCAAAUUUUAAGAUCCUGGGGCUAAAAGACCUGAUUGGAAGAACAAAUAUCGAAGCAUAUCAUGAAACCCAAAAUAAUAAUUUUUGCUUUAUUAUUCUUAAUAAAAUGUUUUUUUUUUAAAUAAAAGUAACUUCUUUUAGGAAGAGGGGGUUCAUUUUCAGGCAGUGCAUGGAAUAAACCAGCUUGUGGGAUAGACUAGCACCUGGCGUCUCAGUGAGAACAGAGAUGCAUAACUUGAGAAAGAAAUAGAUGAAUGAAUCUAUCUUUUACUGUUUGGUCCUUCAAACAGAACCCAGUCAUGUCACAUCAGAUUAGAGGAAGGCCAUUUCUGCAACAAGGCAAGGAGAUUUCAAAUCUGUGAGAAAGAAAAUGUUUCGAGCUGCUCUGGAAAAAAAAAAAAAAAGACAUUAUGAAUUCACAAUUCAUUCUGAUUAUAGCGGUGCUUACCCCGCAUCGUCUACUGCAGACAGCAGGGCUGACCAAGAGGAAAAGAGAUAUAAAGACUUUUUUCUUUAAAAGAAAGAAAAAAAGAAUAUAAAAAAUAAAUUUCAGAAAGAUGCCCACUUGGUUUAUUUCCCUUUUUUUUAAAGUUAAAUAAAUCAUUUAAAGAGAGGAACAUAAUACUUUUCACCUGAUGGCUAGAAUGAAUGAAUGCAUUUUCAAAUCUGAAUGUAGUGAUCAUUUGACAGCAUCUCAGUGGUUAUUUGAGUCUACUUCCCAUGAAAAUUGUGUGUUCUGUUCUGUACAAUAAUGUACGUUCAAAGCUGCUGAAACUACCUUCUUUUUUUUUCUUAUGCUAUUUUCCACUCAUUUAAAUUCCCAAAUGACACCUGCAAAUCCUAACACGUAGAAGGCUUUGAGAGUCACCAAGAACACAUGUGUAAUCAGGUAAAUUGCCUAUGAAUGCGGGUCAUUCCAAAAAUCAAAAUAAAUUUCAUCAGAGGCUUCAUGAAUCAAACUGGAAAAAAAAAAUCAAUUGAAUCUGGUCCUUUGCUCAGAUGCCAGCACCCUACCAGCCUGGUUUCAAAGAGGGUCUUUUCCUAAGAUACAUGGUGAUUAUCUUGGGGAAGUUGGCUCUGCCUACUUGCACAGUUAAUUGCAGUGUGAGAAGGUUCCAGAACAGUACCUCCUUGAGUUCCGACAGUAAAUAUGCACACAGCAUUGUAUGAGGAACAUUCCAGAACACCCACCUCCCGGUGAAGUGAAUGUGCGGGGUGAAUAAAUACCUGGGCUGCCGGAGCCCACAAAUGGAUUUCAUUCCUUACCAUUAGAGAUGGUGUUCAUGUAUACUGAGCUUUUUUAGGACACUGGAGAACCUUCUAGGGUGGGGAGAGACAUCUGUUUGGCUUCUUUUAGGGUCGUCCUCCAAGAAUCUACCCUUUUUUUUUUAUGUGAGGACGUCACAUUAUGUGUGUUUUAUAAGGAAUCUGAAGAAAAUGAGGUUUGCUAAUCCACUUAAUUUAGGGGGUUGUCAGACUGGUAGUAUCAUUGGUUUUAAGUAUUUAAAAAUAAAUACAUUUUUAAAAAUUAAAAGAUUUUAAAGUUUUGGGUGCCAUGUGUUAGAUUGAGGCAGUAGGGAAUAAGUAGCCUUUGGAAAAAACAACUUGAAAAUUGCUGCUCCUUUAAAUUUAUGUGACAUUAAAUACUUGCACAUACAUAUCUCUGCAAAAUUCAAGAAUGUGCUUUGGUGAGCACAUUUUGCCACAUACAUGUGCAUCCUACACAAACUGGAAUAGCUAGUUAGGAUUAUUCAAUUCUUCAUUUUGACAAGACUUGGAGUAGUGGGGAGGGAUUUUAUUUAUCUAUUUCCUAGUGGAUGUUGGCCUCUUGAUUCUGUUGUACUUGAGUGUCUUAGUAUUUAGGACCAUCCAGGAGAAGAAACAAAUGAAUAUGGUUAUUCUUCUAAGGAAGCGUAUUCUUUUCCUAUGUCAUAUUUCAGGUUGCUAGUUUAAAAGCAAUCUAGCUCUCAGUUUUAGGACUCAAAAUAUCAUGAGAAAUAACUUUUGUUCGGGCAUAGCUUAGGAUGCAUCUCAAAUCACUGCCAAUCAUCUUCGCUACUCUUGGAAUUUUGCAAACUGCCCAGACUACUAAUGAUCUAAAUAUUUUGGUCUUACAGGUAUUCCUCUGAUACAGUGGGUAAUGACUCUGCUCUUCAGCCUGAGAGUGGUUCAAAAUGUAAGUUCAGCAAGCUAAAUAAUUAAAUAUCGAUAACUCUGGAGAUCUAUGCAGAACAGUUCUUCCCAUUUUGUGUCCUUCUGCCCAAGACUCUAGCUUCAUAAGAGCCUAGAAGGAGGUGAUAUCUUCUCCUGGGGCAAUGAAGAACCUAGAAGAACAUUUCUUCAGUAUACGGCGUUGUGACUAUAUGUGUGUCACCACAGCCAAUGAUGGGUGUCCUCCUUCUCUGCCUCUCCCUACCACAUUAUUAUUUUUUUUAAUUUUAUGGACUCUUGGAAUCUUUUAUUUUAUUUUUAAUAUUUAUUUUUUAGUUUUCGGCGGACACAACAUCUUUAUUUGUAUGUGGUGCUGAGGAUCGAACCCAGGCUGCACGCAUGCCAGGCGAGUGCGCUACAGCUUGAGCCACAUCCCCAGCCCACAUUAUUUUUCAGAGUAAAACAAUAUGAACCUUUGGUGUCUGGGUAAUGCUGAAUUGAUGCUUCCUUCCCCCAAGUGUCACAUCUUUCUGGGUGGCCCUGCCUGUUCUAAUAUUCUCCUGGCUCAAGCUGAUAGUUUCAAAUAUGCAGACACAUCUAGGCUCAGGGGCAGUUUUUUGGGGUCAGAUGAAAUCCUCUGGUUACUGUCCUACCACAUAUUAACCAAGGUGCCAUGGCCCAGCUGAUGAAGGUCACGUGUUGGGAUCUGGCUCACGUAAGGUAUAAAGUGGAAAGUGUUAAAAUCUGCAGGAGGCCCUUGCUGUGUCACAGAAACACGGUGGAUAGUGGAUUUUCUGGGGCUGGAUCCACCUUGUCCAUUUUACAGAUAUUGAGUACUUCCAAAUCUGACUCUUUAAACAAGGAACUGCUUGUUCUCUGAAAGGGACUAGUGCUGAGUUAGACCCCUCCCUUCUUCGCAAAUCUCAAUGUGUAAUUUAAGAUAUUUUUGAAAAAUUCUCAGGCAUUUUAUGCAUUUCAUCACUGGCCAGGCUCUAGAAAGCUGAAUUUUAUAUAGAAAAGCAUCUCUCCUACCUUCUCUGGUCCCUUGAUUUCCUGCCUCCUGUCUUUAGCCACUUGCCCAAAACAUGGAUUUCUAUGUAAUUCAGUUCACUAAAUAUCACUUCCAUUUUUGUUUCUUUGCAGAGCUUAUUGCUAGAGCUACUAAUAGACUUUCAGCACAAAUAGUAUAUUGAUCACUUGAAAUCUCCUUUGAGCUUGACUGAAUAUACAUAAUGGGGUGUCAAUCGGGGAAAAAUCUCAUAAUAAAUGGCAGGCGACUUAUAUUCAUGAGAAAAAAUGUCUUGGGCAGCUCACGGAAUAUCAUGUUUACUGUAGCAUGACAGGCUGAUUUCGCUGGUCUCCAUCACAUUCGUCGGGCGGAUGUUUAAUAGCAAAGGCAAGGUUAGAAUACCAAGAUCCUGGAACCUUCUUUUCUUUGUUUAUGUGGGAAGCAUUCUUGUACACUCUUAUAGAGUAUAAACAUCUUCUAGAACCACAGCCAGCAAGAGAGAUCUUUUCUACCUGAAGAAUUCAGAAAUUGCAAACAAAUCUGUUUAAGUUGGUGUAUAUUUAAAAUCAGCUACUGAUUUAUGCAGUCCAUAUUUUUUAAGUUUUUACCAUGUGUGUAUCAGCGCAUACACUCGCUGUAUGCAAAUAUCAUUUUCAAUGUGUAUAUGGGAAAGCAUGGUAUAUUUAGAGAAAAGCCUGCUUUACAUAAAUUAUGUUUAAGAACAACGGAGCAGAGGAGUAGCCAUGCGUUCGGAAAGCCAAGUCGUCUUCUUCUUCUUCUUCUUUUUUUUUCCUUUGGAAGUUUCCUCUUAAAUGAUAAGUGAAGAAAUUGCACUUUAAACUUUCAUAUGCAAUUCCCUAAAAUCAGUUGUCAUGACAGAGCAGUGAUUAUGGUGAUGGGGCUUCUGGUCACUUUUUGGAGCUGACUUGAGAGCUGACUCCAUUGCUGCUGGUUAAGUGUGGAAUUGGGCCAUAGAGGGAACACAGGGGGGUCUAUUGCAUUCGCUGGACCCUUGUUUCACCCCAUGACCGUGUGGGAUGUAUUAUGUUUGUCCUAGUCUACUGGGUAGGGUGCAACCCAGAUUUUAUCAAGAAUUCUUCAUCUCCUGUAAAUGAAUGAAGCCAAACGACUCUUUGCUCAUCAAAUUUAAUUUGCUUUUUUUUUUUAAUGGCAAAAAAAAAAGUAUACACACACACACACACACACACAAUACUGGACAAAUGUCUCUUCCAGUUCCUUUUCAGUAUUCAAGAUGUUUUAAAAUGCGAUUGGCCAAGGUUUUUGCUUUUUUAGCCUCAAGUGUCAUGCAAUAGCCAGAAGAAUCUACUUAUCACAACGAGUAUACAAAACAGGACAAGUGGGGCUAUGAAGAUAUAAAAGAUGACAUGGUGCCCGGAUGCUGCUGCUUUUUCCAUAGCAAGAAUUUCUUUGUGCCUGUAUUCAUCUGCUUCCCUGAAAUGCUUCUGGUGUGUUUUUUCAGGUUUCUGAUUAGCAGUAAGGAGGAAUCCAAAGUUUGCAGACAGAAUGGACUAUCUGAGAACUCAUCGGUUGCAGAGGUUCAACUCUGUGUAGUUAUAAAAUAUAUUACUGAAAUGUGCAGAUUUCCUCUAAGUAAAACCUUAUAUUUAUAUAUUCCCAUAUAUACACACAAUUUUAUACCAGUUAGAAGCUAUUUGUAGUAUGUGGCUUUUUACAAAGGUAGUCGAUUAAAUAGCUUAGGCUUGGGAAAUUCCACUGUUGAGACUUAAGCAAAAGCUAGGUUAUACAGAGACUUUAAACUCCGCUAUUUGAAUAAGCUUCAAUAAUUUUAACCUACCGAGAAAUGUAUGUCUUGCAAGUGUUACAACAGGGACUUAUUGGAUGUCACCAAUAAAAGGGAAAUCGAAAAGAAAAUUGGAAAGGAAAAACCAUCCCAAAGAAUUUCAGUCUGAAAUCUACCUUUAUAGGCCCUGCCUGUUGUCUUAAAUUUUAUAUAGUUUUACUAAUUUAUUUUAAUAAAGUUUUAUGAACUAAGUAGAGGUUAAUGAAAUAUUUUCAUUUGUAGUGCUGGGUAUCAAAUCCUAGCCCUUUUGCAUGUGGGGUACACACUUUGCCAUUAACCUAUGCCCACCAUGAUUAUAUGAAUUACUUUCAGAGUAAAAAGUAUUAAAGAUUAUCUUUGGUCACAUAACACCCUAUUUGGUAAUAUAAAUACUCAGUUUUAAUGAAUUUCUUUUUUACCAAAUAUUUAAGGACAAAUAGAACAACUUUAGUACCUAGCUUUUCUAGACUUAUCAAUAGAAUUAAAAACAAAAACAAUAUGAGUAUCCUCACCAUGUUCUUGGUAAAACUUUUAAAUCAUUUUAAAAGAUAUUCAAAAAACAGUGGAAUUUAUAGCUGUUUCACAGACAGACAUGGAUAUUACAAUUCCCAGGGUUUAAAUUUUUUUUUUUUGGGGGGGGGGCGCCUAGAGCUGGGAAUGGAACCAGGGUUUCCCAUACUGCAGGCAAACACUCUACCACUGAGCCACAUCCGCAGCCCCUAGGGUUUGAUUUUUAUGUGUGCCAAAGUGAGGUUGGGAAAUAACUGGACCCUUAUCGUUUCAUUUCCUUGCAACUGCUGUACUUUCAGAAGCCCGAGUUGGAGUUCUCUUCCUUUAGUUGCAGCAUAUUUAGAAUUAUGUUCAUUUAAUUGAAGAAAAGAAGUGGGACUAGUUUUUCUUCCACAGUGAUUUAAAUAAGAACUAGGUUGAUGCAGUGGAUUAAAGAUAAUAUGCUUUUUAAAAAUUGGUGGGUUUUAUUUUCACUUUAAUAAAAAACACAUUUGGGUAAAGUAAAGAAAAAUUGCAGUGUGCGUACUAAUUCAAUUAUCAGCCAAGUAGUAGUUUGGGAUAAAUGACUUUAAUAUAUUUAGCUUUACAUUUAAUAAAAAGUUUUUCAGGUUUAAUUGCUUGCUAGGAGGAGAUCAACAAGACAAUUUGUUUAGGUCAUGUAACUGCUAAGCUUUAUGUAAGUUAGCUUCACUAGGGGAAAUAAUGGAACAGAAAAAACCUUCAGCGCUUCUCCACGUGUCUUUUAAGAUUCUGUGUCACCUGUGUAAGGGGGAAAAAUUUGUGAUUACAGUCAGUUGGUGACAUUAUUAUUAUGUUUAUUGAUGUUUUAAUAUGUAUAUAUUCUGUAAGUAUAUAACAUAUUUAAGGAUAUUUUCAUACUUCUUCUAAUUAAUAGUUAAAUGUAUGUAUGUAUUUGAAAUGAGACUAAACCAUUUCUUUUCAACUAGAAACCUAAUACUUAGACAUGAUCAAAUAUUCUAUAGCAUUCGAGAAAACAGACUUGACUAUUUCCCCCUUUUUAGUUUUUGUUCGAGAUACAUGCUGUGGUCUAUUUAUUUUACCGAUAACCAGAUCUACUAUGGUUAUGUAGGAAUUUGGUGUGGAUUUUGUUGUUGUUGGUUGGUUGGUUUGGAUGUAUGGGGAGUGGUUAAGGAGUGAAAUUCUCAUUUUGCAAAAUAAAAAAAAUCCAGGGAAAAAAAGCCCACUUUCAGAUUCAGUUUCUUCCUCCAUCUUGCUGUGCCUUGGCCUUAGGUCACGGUGAUGUGACAGUGGGACAUGCAAACCCAGUCUUUGAGGGACUUGGUUUGUCUCCUCUAAGCAGAAGGACUACCCAGCCUGUGACUCCUGUCUCCAAGGAUUUGAAAGUCCCGUGUCAUAGCCAAGUGCUAUUCUCCAUCAAGGUAGCCACACCUUCUGCAUAAUAUUUGUUUUGUUGGUGUGUCCUUUUAUACCUCUGCUGAAACCUGUGCAUUUCCAAAAGUCCUUCAAAAGUGUUUUUCUCUCUUGUAAAAAUAUUACAGAGUUGAGGAUAAGACUUAAAAUAUGAAACCUGCUACAGACCCCGAUUGUCAGGCUUUUCCAUUCUGACAUCGACCCUGGAAUUAAUUGUGGAGACCAGAUUUUUUUUCAGCUCAGAUGAGGCUCUAGCUACAUCACCAAGACUGCACCCUUUGAAUUCUCUCAGAAUUCCCUCAACCCAGUAUUUACAGAGCUGGGAUGUUUUAGUACAGCAGACAGACAAAUUUCCUCCCAAGCCGUGAUCAAAAUCAACAGUAAAAUAAAAAAACAAACCAGUUCAAGGUGGAAAUUUAUAGAGAUGACAUCUGCCACUUUUUUUUUUUUUUAAUGAGAUGUCAAUAUAUACAGGGAAAUCAGCCAAAUUACAGGGUGGUGGUCUUUGUUCUUUUGUACUACCCCACUAUUAGUGUAUAUCCCAGGAAUACACUAAUAGUGACCACAGUGACUAAACAUUCUUGGUUUUUCUAGAUUUAGACAUGAGGCUGACUGGGUUCUGUAUAGAGCCAGCGUCUUGAAGAGCAUCAUCUGUGGAAUGUUCUGCGGUGACCGUCAUGUCUGCUCGCGCAGCAUCCCUAACCACCCUUAGCAGCUGAGCACUUGAAAGGUGGCCAUUGCGACUGAGAAACUGAAUUUUAUAUCUUUUUUUAUUUUGAUUAAAACUUCAAAAGACACAUGCAACUACUGCAUAUUGGUCAGCAUAGCCGUAGAAAAUGAGGGACGUGAGUCAGCUCUGCCAUGAAGUCCUCUUUGUGAACUACGUGAGCAAAGGGCAGCCCGUACUCACAGGAGCUAGAGACGGGUCCACCCUGAAUGCUCUGCACCCUCAGCAUGAGGGGGGGCUGUACUCCUGCCUUCCAAGUCAAGCUUGCUCUUGUUGGUUUUGCUUUCACAUUUUUAAAACCUUCUAGUCAGAAUGUGACGCAGUAUAUUGUUGCUGCUCCUGAGACUCCAUCCCCUAUUGGACCGUCUAAUUAUUCCAGAACUGCUCCAGGUCUUGGCUGGUUUGUUUGGCUUUGAAUGCACAUCCAAGGUGCUCACCGAAGAGUUCUGGCUUCAGGAGAAGGGAUUUAAAGACCCCUUCCAAGGGUCCUUCUGCUGCUCUGGUUUCCUUUUGCACCUCACACCAUUUUUGUUCAUGGCGAGUCUUAUCAUCUGACUUGCAUGAAGACCCCUGGGUCUAAAAGAAUAUUACCCCAUGCUUGUGCUUUAAAAAAGUCUUGGUUAGGACAAGACCAACGAAGAAGAGGUUUCAACCAUUAACUCACCUGCAGACACUGACCUCUUACUGAAACUGCUGAAUCUUUCCCUAUCAACAUAGAAUCUCCUGACUUUGAAUUGACCCUGAAGCUUCUAGAGCCUUCAAGGACAUCAGCAUCCUCAGGCGAGUGAGUGAACUUAUUCCUGAUGGAGCUUGGUUUCUUCUGCCCACCCUCCCCCAUCCUAAGAUUUUAAAAAUAGAUGUGAAAGGAGGGAAAGGGGGGAAACAUGCCCUGUAGCUGUGACCACACCUUUGUCCUGCCCGUACUGCCCAGCACACAUAGGGGCCUUAGGUCUGUGCAAGGAGAGGCAGACACUGAGCAUAGAAGACAGUCAGGCCACUGUCCUCGGGAAGUUCACAGCCUACACCUCACCAUUUCCCCUGAGAACCAUGGCCCUCCAAACUGACCUGCCUCAAAAUCACCCCAGAGAGCCUUUAGAAUAAAUGAGUCAGAAACUAAUUCCUCCUCGCCUGCCCCCCCCGCCCUCCACCUCUCAUUUGUAGAAUUUGAACAUUUCUCUCAGUUCUCUCAACUCUGCCUUCUUAGAGACAGCCAUUUGCAGGCUUUCUAAGCAUGCUGAUACCAGGGUCCCACUCCAGCCUGGAAUCAGAAUUUCCGGGAAGGGCCUGGGCAUGGACAGAUAUUAAGGGUUCCCUAGGGAACUCUGCACAGACUGUGCAUGGCUAUGCCAACUGAAAAGUUUUAGGGUGCACAGUAAGCAUUCUGGCUGAGAUGAGCACCCACACCUGCCCCUGUAGCUUGUCUGCAUUUGUUGGGCACCAAGGAUACAUCGGCUCUCCUGGGCGUGGUGCUGUGUUUCAGUGUCCUUGGCCCUACUCUUCUUUUCUGCUUCCUUUGCUGUCUCAUCAUGUCUACUCAGCCCAUUGGGAUAGUGACCCCUAUGCCUGGGUCUCCCUGGGCAUUUCUUUUAGUGCGGGCACACCUGAGUCCAGUGCCCUGCCCCAUGCCAUGCUUCUUCCUGGAAGCUGGGUUCAAGACUCAGGUGCUCUUCCUCCCACAGUCCAAUUUGGUCCCUUUGUCCUACUCCCUCCACCCCAGGGUCCCCCGUUUCCCUAGUCACUGUGCUGCUGAUGUCAUUUGGGCCAACAUGUGCCUGGGCUGUUUUAAAAUGGUCAGAGGUGGGCUCUGCCUCUUCUGUCACUACUCUCUCUCGCCAUCCUUCCCCAGCUGCCGAAGCGUACCACUGAAAGCUCAGAAGGCUGUCUGCUGAGGUCAGGGUGGUGCAUCUCUCUUGUCAUCUGCCCAGACCUGCUUCUCAUCUUGUCAUGUCUUCCCACAGGCUCAGACUGCCCACAGGGGCCCACUGUGCCCUGCAGCCCAGGCCGGGGUAACUGGCCCAGUUGAACCUGCCUUCUUUCUGUACAUCUGCUGAUCUUGCUAGUCACCCCACAAAAGCUUCUCUGAUGGCUUUGUCCCUAUCCCCAUUCCCAAGACCCACACCCUCUUCUGUACCCCUCUCCCUUGGCUCUCAUUCCUCAAUUCUCCUGGCUCACACGCAGGCACUGCCACACAGUGCCUCAUUCUUAGUCUCCAGUUCCACCCUGCAGGCAGGAGUCGUGGUUGGUCACUCCUUCCCCCUCGGCUCUUAGGACAGGGUCUUUGCAGAGGCUUUCUGGACAUCACUCUCCCACCGAGGCCGCCUGUGGCAUUUGUUUUUGACUGAAUGCUCUUAGUAGUGACAGAGGCCUUUGGUUUUCUCCUGAGUGUGGAUGUGCUAGGCCUCCCCAUUGGGCCCCAACCUGUUGCUGCUGUUCCCCUCGCUACCCCUGUCCAGUGCAUACACACACACGCAGGUGCACACAUGCAUGCACCAGCACAGUCCCGCACAGUCCCUGUGGUGAAGCUUGCCCUUCCUGCAGUCAUCUCUUACCAUUGCCGUUCAAGCUGCUCCCUUGUACCUGGUGCCUGCAUUCACAAAGUGACCUCACCUUGCUUUGGUGGUACUUUUGGAAAAAUGUUUUCCUCUUCCCCUUGUACGAAGAAAUGAGGACUUGGAGACACAGCUGCUGCACUAAUACUGUACCCUCUUGCCAUUGCCCUCUCCCCUUCUAGUCUCAGCAUGGCAGGUUAGCUGUUGACAAGUCAUGAAGAACAGUGCAGCUGGCCCAGUACCUCUAUUCUGAGCCAUCCUGGCUGUCCCCAGGGGUCCUCUGUCUUUGUCUACUGCUGCUUUGAGGGGGGCCUCAGACUGCAGGGGCGGGGGCAGAGCCUCAAAGCCUCCCCAGGGAAUGUGGCAAGAACCCAGCUCUUGCUCUGGACAAGUGCUUGGAGAUGAAGGCCACUGGCUCAGCUCUCCUGUUUCCCCUGGAGGGAAAGGGUAGAAGCUAGUUGGUAGAGGGGGUUGAUCCAGGGUGCUGAGGGCCUCAUCCUGCCAGCCAGGUUGGAGCAGCUUGCAGAGCUCAGUGGAGGAAGAAGAAGAAGAAGAGGAGGAGGAGGAGGAGGCAGCAGCAGCAGCCUUGGAAGCUGUGUAUGCAGAGGGAGGGAGGGGGAGAGGGCAGUGCUUAUGCAGGAACCACAAGUAUGUCAAGUAUUUUAGUGUGGGGUGGAGAUGGAGGUGGGGCAGGCAAGGACCUUAGUGCCUCUUCUUGGGCCUGCUCUGCCCUGUGCAGAUCCUUAGAUUCCAUCCCCAGCACUGCAGUCGCCAGGUGGGGCACCUAUGGCUGCCUCCCUCAUUCUGCCUCUUUCUGGAAGCCUUCUCUAGGCUGGCAGGGUCUGGGCAUGGCUCCUGGGACAGUGUCAUCUGAGAGCCCUGCUACAGUGCCUGUGGUCUGGUGAGGGGACACAGGGCUGGGGCUCGGAGUCAGCAUGCUGACAGGUUUUGCCAUCUCCAGUGGGAAAGGAGCACUGAUUCCAGAGGGGAGACAUCUGUAGAGCCCCAGUGUGCUAUGGCUAUGAAAGGGACAGGGACUGUACAUUCCAGACUCUUUCCUCAGCCAAGACUCCCUUUGGCAACUUUGAGGGCCAUGGUCAGUCUUCCUCCCUGGCUCAGAUGUCCUUGCUGCCAUAGCUCCUCCCAGAACCAGGAGCACAGGGACCUUUGUAUACCACCUUCCCGGGCCCUGACCCUCAGCAGCCUCAGACCCCGCGAGGAAGUGGACAACACUGGGUGGCCCCCCAUGUGACCGCCUCCUCACGAACACGGCCAGCACCUUCCGGUAGAAGAAUGGCUCUUCCCUGCUUUGCUCUCAGUCUUGGGUCUGACAAUUAAGCCACUGAAAAAGAACAAUUCACAACAGGCUCACACAGAGGAGGCCUUUCAUGCACCAGAAUGGCCGAAUCGUCCACAUUAGCACCAUUUGUAUCUUAUUUAUAGAAGGUACUGUACUUGAGGAUGAUCGAGAAGCAAUGCUCUAAGAAGGGUGUUUGGUCAUUGGAUUUAAAGCACACUGAGGAUUCAUUGUCCCCAGGCAGCACUGUGGCCUGAGAUUUGCUGAGUGGGCAGUGGAGUGCAUGCUGACAUGGGUGGGUGGCAGGGUCACUCUGGCUGGCAGUGCCUCUGUCAUUGAAUCAGUGGGUUGGGGGGAGGUGGGGAACCACUUCAUGAUGGCAGGCCAGUGACAGGCCCAACCUAGCCCCAGAACCUCCACAGAAGGUCAGUGUGGCCAGUGGGAAGCCAUUCUCACCGAGUCCUGUGAAUCUGAGGGAUGCCUGGGUUCAUUAAUGAUUUAGUUACCAUAUUGGAACAGAGAGCCCCACACUCCAUUAGCUCGGGAGGAGCAGUCGUGAACUUUUCAUAUAGACACCUUGGCCUAAUGGAGUUGUGGGCACAGACCCAGUAUGGUUUUUAGAAAUAGUCUAACCUCCAGGGGGUUGUAAAGCUGCCAGGAAGCCAUCCCUGUGCCCAUCCUCUGCUCUACCAAGCCAGGUCACGUCUUCUGGCCUCCCAUGUCUGCCCUGAGGAACCAGUGGGCAGGUAGGGGUGGGUAGGUAGGGGUGAUCAGGGUCAGAGUCUCUAGGCAGGUCAGGGUUAUGACCUACAGCUGGCUCAAGCUUAGGGCCAUUUUGAAUUGGAAAUGUCCAGGAGUGUGCUCUGUAUAUUAAGACUGGUCCCAAAUUGACCGCCUAGUCCUCAAGCAUCAUGAUCCAGGACGGAGGGAAUUGUUGGCAUCUCCCACCACCACCGUUCAUUCUCUCUGCUGCUCUUAACCGUCGUCACUUUGUAGCAUUUCCCCAGCUCAGCCCUUAAGGUGGAUGUUUUUAUUUUAUCUUCAAAACCCCCCAUGCAGUGAGUACCAUUAUCACCACUUUUGCAAACGAAGAAACUGUUUCCGAGAGGGCAACCUGAUGGCUCGGGUCACACAGCCAGAAAGAGGUAGAGCCAGGUCUUUUACUCUCCUGCCCUCAGAGACCUAGGCUUCAUUCAAGCUGCCUCAGUCCGGACUUCUGGCCCCUCUCACCCCACCUCUCCAGGUGUUUCUGAGUCAUGAGCUGUGGAAGAAGAAAAAGAAGGAUCCCAUCUGAGGCUUGGUGUGCUCUGGGUCUCAUUUCCUACUGCCUCCUCCCAGCGGAGCCUCCAGGCCUCCACCGUCUGUCCAUGUGGUUCCUGAGGCCCACUGCCUUAUCAGUGAGUCACUUCCUCCGCGUUUUUUUCCCCUUAAGGUUUUAUUCCCAUUAAAAGAAAAAACCCAACCUCCUUCACAAUGGCAUAUGUCUGCCUCUGCAGAUAAUUUUUUUAAAAAAGUGUGUUGGAGACUUUCAGAAUUAUUUUUGUUUGAAUAUCCGGUACACCUCUAUAAAAUAGGAAGCCAUAGGCCUUCACCUCUAGAGAUGGGCCUCAUGGAGUCUGCAUCAUGAGUUUUUUGGUUUUUGACCCCAGACAAUAAUCAAGCUUUACAUCCCAGGAUAACCCAUACCUUUGCUGGAGAAGGGCCCAGGGAGUGGGGAAGCAGGCUCACACUUAGGGGGACACAAUACUGUCAUCCUCGAAUCCCUGACACCUCGUAUCCAUGUUAGCAAGAUGAGAAAUCAGGGCAGACAGACACAGGUUUGGAAAGGGAGAGGAGGGUGUUAUGAGUAGGUGAAAACUUCUAUAGAGGGCUGAGUUCCUGAGCCUGUUCAAGAGCACAGUGGAGCAUACACUUGAAUCUAGAUGUCCUGGGUUCAAAUCCUGGCUCUGGGACUUGCUUGCUGCUGUAGGCCUUUGUGCAUCCGUUUCUGAGUCUGUAAAAUAAUGAUACUGCCACAUAGGGUCAUUGUGGGGACCAAAUGAACCAUGUGCUUAUGGAGCAUCCUGAGAAAUGUGCUUGGCACACAGUAGGUACUCAGUAUUGUCAGCGCCAAAUAACAGGCUGGUUUCUGGAAAGGGCUAUUCAGAACAAAUGGCUGGGAGUAUUUUCUAUCCAACAAAUAGACAGAGAUGGAGUAGACAGAGAUGGCUGACAGUUGUAGUGAGGUGCCCAUCUAGAAUCAGAAGAAGUCCCUGUCAGCCACAUCUCAGGAUUCAGGGAGAUGAUGUGAUUGAUUGUUUAUUUAAUUUAUUUAUGCCAUGCUGAGCUCCACACAGGGUCUGAGCUGUCUUCCGUUUGCUUUUUCUCAAUGUGCUGUUGCUUCCUGAUGAAUGAGAUUAGGACAGGAAUCAGCCCCAGUUCUGGCAGCUGGACUGGUCCUCUCCGAGCAGUUCCAUUCUUGUGUGCCUGCUCUUUCUGCAUUGCUUUUGCCUUUGAUUGCACGCCUGGCAGGUGUGGGGGAGGGCUUUCUCCACCUGGCAUUGUGUACACCCCUGUCCUUUUGAACAGCACCUGCCGACAGGACUCUCGGACUCUCGUCCCUUUGAAGAAAGCUCCUCUGGAGCUCCCACACUGGCCUGGGCCUCUGUGGCCAGCUGGGUAGUGGAGUUUCCCCCCAGCGCUCGCUGAGCUGUAUCCAGAUUCCACAAAGCAGAGGUAGCCCCAGGGCUCACAACAGGGGGAGUGGUUUAGGGACCCACCCAAUCCUGCAGUCUCCAGCAGCUCCCCUGUGGGGGAUAUUCUUAACCUCGUGGUGGCCAGGAUGUAUCUGUUUCAGGGGACUGGAAUUCUUACCUGUAUGCCAGGAACCAGGAAUCCCAGGCAGAUGAUUGUGUAAGCCCCAACCCUGAUGUCAACCCGGGCACCUUUUGUCUCCUCUGUAUCCUAGCACUUAGCAUCCAUUAUAGCCAUGGCUCAGGGGUGGGGAGAGAAACCUGAAAGGAUGUCAAGACAGAGAGAGGGCUGAGAACCCAUUUGUGGAGUAUCUAUUGGUGGUUACUGGGCAGGUACAGGGGGUUAAGGAAAGAAGUAUCCCCAGACCCACCCACCUGCCAUUUCUGCCUCUGAGGACCAGCCAGGAGCUCCCCCAGGCUUCUGGUGAGCACAGAGGUCACCAGGAAAAGGACAGUAACUUUGGAUAAGCUCCUGGCCAGUGACAUGCUGGGUGAGGAACGGAGGAAUAACAGUGAAUCGCUGAGGACCUUUGGAGCCAGGAGAUUUCUAACGUAUUAUCUCAGUUCAUCUCUGUCACGGUUUUGUGGGGAACAGCUAACUGAUGAGGAAAUGGAGACUCAGGGAAGUUGGCCAUUGUCCUGUCCUCUGCAGGGCGGCUCCAUUAGCCAAGCCCAUGCUGACAAACCACCUAGGAAGUGCAAGUGCCCAAGCCCUGUGUCCCUUAAUAUGACAUUCCUUACCUCCAGAUCACAGGCAAGAUGGGGUCCCACAGACAGGAGGGUUCAGAAAUGAUGAUGGUCUUAUGUGCUAGGUGGACAGCUUUUACCCAAAGUCUGGAUCUGUCUAGAAGGAGGUUGCUCAGAAAAGGGCUCACAGGGUCUGAGCCCCAGGCUGGGUGUUGUUCACACUCAGAUAUCUGUAAGACAAUGGUGCAGGUGGAAGGGACCACAGCCUGAAGUCUUCCAACAGCCCCACAGGGAUGGCCCCUGACAGUGUCAGCAUCAGUAUCUGGGGGCUUUGAGAUGUAAGUUGUACAGCUGAGGCCAAGGAGGUGGAAUGGAGAUUGUGUUGGGGACAGCUGUGAGAAGCAGGCUGGACAGAAAGAUUAUAAAUGGUGGUGGAAAGUGAGAUGCAGUCCAUGGAGAAAGGCCAAAGAAAUCAGAAAACAACUGUUAGAAUUCUCAUGACUAUUGGCCAUGAGGCUAGGUGGCUUGGUGUCAGGAUUCUAGCUGUACUACUCAGUGGCCCUGUGGCCUGGGUCAGUUCCCUAGCCUCUCUGAGCUUCAGCUUCUCAUCCAUUGAGUGACUGUCAGGUCAUCUGCUUCCCGAGGUUGACCAGAAGGAUGCCAUAAAAUGUGCUGCGCCCACAUAGGUGAGCGCAUCAUGGGUGGCGGCCGCACUGGCCAAUGUUCACCCCCAGGCAGCAGCACCUGGUGCAGUUUUGGCUGGAGCUGAGCUGGCCACUCUUCUGGCCACAGUGCCUGGGAGCCUUUCAGGUAGCAGAAAUGCUCAGGCGCUGAUCCUACCACUGAUAGGUGCUUGGCGAGUGCCAUGUUCACAGUCACAGUGAGCUUCCUGUUCCCCAGCCCCAGUUCACCACUCCCUCCCCUUAGCUCUCCUUGCCCCCUGCUGUCUGCCAGCUUGCCUCCCCAAGGCUGGCAAGUGCAUGCGUUGAUGCUCUUCCCUUCCCAGUGGAGCCCAGCCAUCUGAGCCUAGUCCAGCUCCCUGAGCACACCUCCAGGGGCAGGCCAAGAAGAGAAAAAAAAAAACCAGUACCACAAAAGCAUCCCAGGUCUGUCCCAGGCAUGCAACCGCAUAAGCCCUUGCAUUCUCCUGAGCUGUAGCUUUUCAUUGCAGCCUCGCCUCCAAGCCAAGUCAAACCCUUGACCUUGUAGCUCUAACAGGAGCUACAGGAGAAAUUUUGAGUCUUUGGAAAAAAAGGAAGGUGGGUAUGGGGCAGACCUGCAGUCCCAGCUACUCUGGAGGCUGAGGCGGAGGAUCACUUGAACCCAGGAGUUCAAGGCCAGUUUGGGCAGCAUUGUGAGACCCCCCUUUCAAUAAAGGAAAAAUAGGAAAUUAAAAAGGGACAAAAAUUGCACCUUUCAGCCUUUCCCCAGCCCCAGGAGCCAUGGGUAAGAAGGUGGUUCCUAGGCCUCUCCCUCCUCUUGAGACCGGUCAUAACCCUAGAGUCUUGAUUCUGGUUCCUGAGGAGGUCCAGUUCUAGAUGCUAAUAUGGGUCAUGCUGAUUUGGGUUCUGUUCUCUCCACACAGAUGGCAUUCCACGGGAGGGACACUACACAGGGGUCACCUUAACCAACUCUUGGGGGGAGGGGAGAGUAAUGCAGUACUCCUCAAGCAGACAGUUCUAGCCCAAGCAAGGGACAGUGGUGACUUUUAGGGUACAUUAGGGUUGAAGGAUGGUAGAGUGUGGCAAGGGGCCCCAUGGAAGUCCAUCUUUGUUUCUGAAAGAAGCCACAGAAUAAUCUCAUUUUGAACUUCAAGUGCUCAAGGAAUACCCUGAAAUCAGAUCUAAUCCUGGACAGGGACAGUAGCUUGUUGGGUCACCUCCUUCUUGUCACUUUGCCUCUUCUGCAAAAUAGAACUGUCACCUACCAUCACUUGCUAUAGCGCCACAGAUGUCAACCAUGUUUGGUCUGUUGUGUUUUGUUAUUUUUCCCAAAUGCCAAUACUUCAAGGGCUGAAACCAUGCUGAUCCUAUAAACCUAUACAGUAGUGUUGGUUUUAUAAUAAUUUCGUUGUGUGACUCCUCGUGAGAGACUCAUGGAGCACUCCUGGUUCAACUGGACUGCCUCCAGGGGAACAGGGAUUGCGCCCAGCCAAUAAGCAUCAAUGUCAUGAUAAGAAAAAUGAGCAUCCAAGGGCAUCUGCGGGGGGGGGGUGGUGGUGGUAGGGAGCACAGGGCAUGGACUGGCAGACAGGUUGCCCCAAGCAUCCCACUGUACCCCAGGAUUCCCCGAGAUGACAUUCAUAGCACCGUCCCCCCAUAGUCAACUGCCCUAACUCAUCAUUCCUAAUUUCCUAGCCAAGUUGAUCAUAAACUGGAUUCAGGAACUCUUUCAUGCCAGGUGAUUCUGCCUGUAUUGGUAUAUAUAGACCAAUGCUACAAUAAUUUUGUAUUGUGGCCUGUUUUAUGAAAAAAGAAAGAGAAGAGCCCUAGCUUGGGGAUGAUUAAGCCCAGAAAGGAACAUGCAGAGCCUGUCCUGCAUUCAGGUGGACACAACAGAGGUUUUGGUCUGAAUAAAGGCAGGCGCAGCAGAGACUGAAAUCUCAAAAUGUUUACACAGCUGCAAAUCCUAGGAGCAGUGAAACGUCCCCAACAUCCUAAGAGGUUUUUUUUUGUUUUAACCAUAAUCACUACAACAAACAUUUUCCCACAGAGGAUGAAAAAAUUUUAAAUUUGAAAACUGUUGCCCGCCUUGUGUGUAAUGGCUAUGAGAAUGGUAAGAUCUUCACCUCCCUAUAGAAAUGGGAAGUUCCUCUACAUUCUAUUUAACUUUCAAAAAUAUAAAACAGGAAAUUAUAAUAUUUGUUCUCCCAAUGAGUUUUAAUUUAAUAUGAAUUCUACUUUUUUUUUCCUGUAAAGCAAUUUGCUAAUAUGAGAUGUGGUGAGUUUUUUUUUCCUCCCCUCCUAUUAAAAUGAAUUUCUCCAUAUUUUAAAUGGCAUCACAAGACAGAUGGGCAGCAGUGGUUUUUAUACUGGAAAUGUGGUGACCCCCAUAGCCUCACCAGAUAAAAUUUAUACUCCCUUCAAAAUUCUAUUUAAUCUGUUGAUACUUUGGUGGAAUUCUGGAAAUGCUCCUGUCGUGUCUAGUAAGAAGCUUGAUAGAGACUUGGCAAAUCCAUAGUCGUUCCUAAAUAAUGAAUUUAUUGAGCCUUUCCCUUGAAUAUAGAUGCCAUAAUAUAGAUGCCAACAUUUCAUGAGAGAAAUUUGAUUAAUAUGUUACCAAUGCCCAUCACACUUGAAGGAAAUACUUUGUUUAGAUGUGGAAUGCAGGAAUAAAAUUCCGCAGCCUUUCACGCUCAAAGUUGGAUUGUCAGUUGCCCCCCAAAAGAGGAAUUUUUAAAAAAGAGAAAUUUGUUUUUAAAAAUCAGCAAACUAAUCAACCAGGAUAGAUUUAGAAUUCCAGUCCUGACUGGGAUGCAGGAAAGAGAAUUCUCAGAUGUACUAUUAAGAGGUGGCUGCAUAUGUAGAGAAUACAAAUUGAUUUUAAUGUUAGAAUAAGCACAGCAUCAUCGAAAAUGCCAUCUAAAAAUACACACAUCGUCUCUGCAUACCUAUGGGUGAACCUUGUCAUUUCUUGGUGGCAGUAUGCAUACCCCACCAACACAUUCGCGACAGAUCCCCCGCCGGCUGCCAUGUCGCCAUGUUCAUUUGUCUCUGAGUAGUGAGAAAUAAAGGAAUCUGAAGGUGAUUUGUCCCAUUCUGGGCCGGAUAAAUUAAAAAUUUGUAUUUGUGUGACAAUUCUUUUGCAGUCCUAGGAAAGCAAUAAGAAAGUGAAAAGCAUUUAAAUGAAGCAUUGCCUCUAGAAAAGCUCUUGAAAAAAAAACCGGACAAAUCUAAAUAAUAUUGAUUGAUUGAAAUUGAUUUUUCUGAAUGUUUUCUUCUGUGGGGUUCCAGGGAGUGACUUCAAGCUUUGGGAGAGCUUGUGAGCUGACACUGCUGGUGGCUUUCUGUUUUUGUAGGAGCUCCGUUAAAUUUGAAUGUCAAUGUUUCCUGAACAUUCUUGGUUUUCAGUAGACCCACAGGAGAAAACAGCACCCAUAAGUGAGGACAAUGAAGCAAUCUGCUUUGUUUGCGUAUAGGGACUGUAAACGGAUGCUCCAGCUAUAAAACACCCACCAUCACAGCACGUUUCCUUUCCUCAUUUGACAAAAUUAAUUUUAAGAACAGUGACUUCUAGGGGGCUCAAUCUGUGUGUGUUCUCGGAAGCUCAGGUAUUCUCUUCUUGCCUCAUUUUCUUAAACUGGCGGAUGCUUGCCUGGGAAUGAAUGAGGAAAAUGGUGUGGUCCUGGGUAUUUAUUUCAGACACUGCCCACGAGGGCUCACCGGCCUGCAGGCUAGAUGCCAGCCACCAGCCCAUCAUUUCUCAGUGAAAAGAACCUUUCAGCUCGGUUACCUCCUGGAGAGAGCUGAUUUUCCAGCAGUCAGGCUGAUCUGGGUAAAUAAUUAGAGAGCUGGAGAGCGGAGACAUCACCCUAGUGCUGUCUGUGAUUCUGCUAAUGUAGCCAGACCCUGUGAUUCCAUCGCUGCUACAGUCUCACCGCUGCCUUUCUCUAAAGCUGCGGAGGGAGGGAGGGAGGGAAGGAGGGAGGGAGAAACAGCAACAAAGCCAGUUGCUUGCAUUUGUCUUGAAAGAACUAAUGACAUUUUUCAUUCUUUUGGUAAAUGCAAGAAAACAGCUGCAGCUCUUUAGCUGCUUAGAGGAAGGUGAAUCACGAUCUGCUUUGCUCUCCCCACCACCCUGACCUUCCAGCACUUUCCUGCCCCAGUGCAAUUUCCUAAGCAUAUUGAUUUAUUUUUAAAACUGUUUUACCCCUAGUUUACUGGAAUUUGCAGGGUUCUGGGGUGUGCAGGCAGAUCACAUUUCUCAUAAAGCAGACCUUGAAGUGGUUAAUAGCUUGUUGUUGAACUUUUAUAGCUGCUCAUUAAAAACCAAUUUUUUUUAAAAAAAAAGAGAAAGCACAUUAGCUAUUGUAAAGCUACAAAUAUCCUUUAUCUCUCUACAAAUAUCCUUUAUCUUGAAACUUCAUCACAUUUUAUCCUGUCCUUCUGCGUGGUGCUCAUGAAAGGGGAAGAGCAAAAGUGUGAAGAAUUGGGCACGUGAAAUUCUAAGGUUCUAGUGAAAUUCCCAAUUUUUCUCUUGUAUUUUCAAUAGCAGCUUCUAUGGUUAUCGAACCAUUGAUUCUUACUGAUUGGGAAUCAGGCCAAGAAAGCCAAUCUGACUUAUUGAAAAAUAGUAAUUGUAUUAAUGGUGUUUUAUUACUUCCUAUACAUUGUUAGGAAUGAAUAGUAAGAAAUAGAAAAAGGUCAUUUAAACCAUAAACAUUCACAACAGGCAGAUUGAACGGGACAUGUUAACUACAAAGGCCCUUAACACACAAUCCUUGGACCCACAGCUGGAAGACAUAUUGAAGAAACAAAGGCAGUUAGCUCAGGAGUAGGGGGCUCUCUCUGACAAGGGUGGAAAAACCCCAGUGGCAAGAAAGUUGGAAGUCAGCUCUUCACCUACCCAGGCAGAGCUCAGAUUCAUUCAUCAGAGUCCAGAAUUAGUAUGCUCUUCAUUAACAGAGUUGAGUAUAUACUUUUCCAGCAAAUAGCUGGAUUUUCCAUAAAACUCUGUGACAUGGCAGGCCUUACUGGGUGCUUGGUUCAUGACAAAUCUAGAUAGUCUGGGCCCAUCCAGAGGGUUAAAUGACUGAUUAGCCCAGCAGCACCACAGAGGCUGUAUUUUUCCUGCUAAAGUGUGUUCAGACCAGAUCUCCUGGCUCAAGACUCCCCCCUACCCCAAUUGAGUAAGUUUGUCUUGGGACCUAAAGCAGCAAGAGUUGACACCUUGGAAUGGACUAAACCUUCCCUCUACUCUUGCUUUCCCCUCUUUUCCUUCUUUCCUUGCCCCUCCUUCCUUCCCUUUCUCCCUCCCUGCCUCCUUCCCAAACACUAGGGGCUUUUGAAGGCUGUUCUAUAGCAGCAAGGUGGAAAGGUCUUUUGGGACUGAUGCCCCAAAGAGUGGAUUUGUCAAGAAAAAAAAAAAAAACAAAAACUGGUGAGGGGGUUGGGGGCGAGGUAGGAGGCUGCUAGGUGCUUUCUGGUUUCUCACAAGGCUUAGGAUUGGGUUUUUUUUUUUUUUUUUUUUUGGAGACUCCUGGGGCAUACUCGUCCCAUGGUGGCUGGGACAGUGUCAGGAUUAAACUAUCAUAGGUCUCAUCAAAGAAAUCUCUAAAGGAAACAGUGCACGGGAACCCUUUCUCUUCAUGCCACUCGCAGGUUACCGCUUUUCAAAGCAAAGCCAGACUCGGCCCUGCCCGGGGUAGGAAGUCUUUGUCUGCCUGCGCGCCCGAGCGCUCCCGGCGUCGGAUUGAUUUUGGCCCCCGCUGCCGCAAGUUGGGGGCUGGUGAGAAGCGAGCGGUGGUUAGGGGCGGUGCGGACUGGCAUCUCGGUACCAGGGAGCCCACUGCUGCUUCGGGAUUUUUUUUUAACUUGGGAUUUCCACAUGGCAAAAAAAGAAAGAGGUUUCUCCUCGAUCUAACGGAGCCAUUAACAUCUAUUAAUAACGCGCGCGGACAGGGUAAGUAGAGGAGUGUAGUCGCGCUCCCCGGGGUGCCUCGGCUGGCCUGUGACAGCGGCAGCUCAGCCCGGUGCGCACCAGGCCAGGGGACUGAGCCUGCUGCCCGCUGCCUGCUCCUCCCCUUGCCCAAGGUGAGGGGUCGCGCUCGCACCAGAGCUCCUGCGCCCUCCCCUGACUACUUUGCAAGGCAUUUUCUCCAGUGGGCAAAUUACUUGUCGUUUCUCUCCGGGCAUUGGCGGCUCCUUGCUGGAACUGUCCUUUCGGAUUUUGUGAUACAGCCCAGGCAGAGGCUGGAUGAGGAGGUGGUGCCCAUGCAUAUUCAUUUUGUCUCGUAGCCGGCUGCCCUUCUUGCCAUUACAGGCUGAUUUAUUGAUUUAUAUAUAAAGUGUGUUUUAUUUUAGUAAUUAAGCAGUCCUGAAUUCAUGGGAGCCGUCUGCCCUUCCCAGGCAUGUUCUUUGCUAGGGAUGAAAGACAAAGGUUGUUUGUGCCACCCCCCACCCCUUCAUUUUCUAGCCUAGUGACCACUGACUUUUGUUUUAUGGAGAGCUCAUUAGGAAUGGCAUAUCUUUCUUCCAGAGAAAUCACUGAACUAAAAAAAAAAAAAAGCAUAGUGUUUUUUUUGUUGUUUGUUUGUUUUGUUGUUGUUUUUUUAAUAAACCAACAUUUGACAGCAGCUAGUGGGAUGUGGUGUAAAGAUUGUGUGGCGUUUCAGUUUAGGGAUGAUUCUAGGAUGGAUGUGUCUGUGGAACAGUCACUGACUUAUUUCCAUCAAGGUACAUAAAAAUAAAUGUUGCUUUUUUUUUUUUUUCCAUUACAAAGGAUGCUACCUGAGGUGACCGGGAAACAUAACUUCAAUUGUAUUUUCUCUCCACUUAUUUUAUUCUUCAACUUGACUUUUCACUUUCCUAUGCCCCCACCCUUCUACUCAUCCAUCCAGAACCCCAUCAUUUCAAGAAAAAUUAUCUCACAGUCUCUUAUAUUUUCAAGAACUCUAUUAUGCCUAUAAACUUGACCUGGAUUAUGUUACUUAAUUUGGUAGAGAUAUUCUGUCGUGCAGGAAAUCACAGCCUGUGGGGUCAAUACGUGCUUAUGAACCCCUCAGCCAAAUUAUUUAAGUUGUUUUUUAAAGAUAUUUUUAAGCCAGUGAACACUUAGCAGAAAUAUCUUUACAGAUCCUAAUAAACCUAUUUUUAGUCUUGAUAUUUUAAAAGCCUGGCUCAACCCCACCGGUUCUAAUUGAUGUAAAAUGUGCUUCUAACGAAAGAUGUUUUUAUUGUCAACAAAUUAAAUCAUUAUGAAUUUCCUUUAUGGAAAUAGAUGCUCUCACAAAAGUAGAAAUUUUACUACACAGAAUACCACUCUGAUUUUAAACUCCUUCAAAAUUAUAUAUUUAAUAUGUUAACAGGAAGGACUAUAGAAGAAUGAAUUAAACCCGGAUGGCAUUUGCUGGGCUUAUGUUUUCUGUAAGCUUAUUGUAUAUCCUAUUUUAUAUGUUUCCAUCACUUUUUAAAAAUGAUCCCAUUACAUUUUUAGUAUAUUCUCCAUUUACAUGGUAUAUGAAAUAGAUGAACAUAUUAUGCAUAUGUACAUGUGUGAUUUGCUCUGUGGGUAGAAAUGACAGCCAUUAGGGUGGGAAUAAUGAAGCGUCUGCUUCUAUGAGAAGGAGUGAGAGAGAAAACACCCCGGAUCGAUAACUUAUAAGUAACCAGCAAGAAAAAGGGCGAAAAACGCUUUUCUUUUGCUUCAGUUCUCAAACAAGCGUUUCCCUGUGGCCUCACAUUCACGUUGUCGUGAUUGAGUGAAAACAAGAAGGCAGAACAUUGACUAGGCAACGUGUGGUGUUUUUUUUAUUGGUGUAUUUACUACAAACAUUUUUGAAAUGCCUUUAUGGUCAGCUGAAAAGUCAUCACAGAAUUGAUUCGAUGCAUAUAGUGUAAGGACAGAUUUUUUUAAAAAGCAAAAAAAAAAAAAGAGUCGGUAUGAGGGGCAGCAUGAUUGUUAAGCUUGUGGGGAGAAGCCGGGCACAGAGCCGUGGAGUGUUUUGUGUCUUUGUGCCUGUGGGGUGGAAGGCACGUUACCUUUGUCUGGGAACAUCACACGUGGGCAGACCAGGUGACGACUUCAUGCAGUGGUGAUACCUUGAAUGUGGUAAGCAGGACUACCUAGAUCUUUGGGAGGUCUCAAGGAUAGCAGGAACUCCACACAGACCCUAAGAAAUAGGGCUGGGGCGGGGGGAGAGAAAUGAGAGUGAGACUGGGUUCACGCCCCCUCUGCAGAGAUUCUGUGCAUGUACAGUGAGCAGCUAGUAGAACCCCACCCUCCCCACCAGUGGUACUAUCUCUAUGUGGCCUUUUGUUUAUUGUAGGUGGUGUUGAUGCGAAGUCCCUGGGGAGGAUUAUGGUGUGUAUGAGCUUUUCCUGAUGGUCUGAAUUCUAUUGUGUUCCUACAAAAUACAUACACACAAACACACAUUCAUUAAACAGCAACCCCCAAGAGUAUGCAUUCCUGCCGUGCUCUUGAAAUUCACUUAAGAGGAAUUUUUUUUUUUUUUUUAAUCACCACUCCAAACCCUUACCCUUCAGAUCACUACUUGUGAUUUUUUUCCCCCCAUCUAGGAAGUGACCUUUUCUCUCUUGAUCAUUAAAAAGGGGGCUUUGGGGUUUGUUUGUUAGUUUGAUUGAUAGUUUAGGCUUGAAUAAAGUGGAAUAUUCCUCAGUAUCAGAAAUAUUUGAGGCAAACAUUCUAUUCCUAUUUGAUGUUCAACUAUUCACACACAAAAAAAAUUCCUCAUUUUGAUGAAUAAUUAAAAGGGAACUAUUUAAUAUAAAUGCCUUUACAUUGUAUUGUGGGCUGUCACGGUUGAGUCAAGAAGCAGGGAGAAAGUCAUUUCCACUUUGCUUAUCCUAUGAUCUUCUCUUGUUUAUCAGGGAUGAUGUAGAGAAUGGAAAUACUACCAGGGAGUAUUAGAAAUUACUUGUGUAGGUCUCUACUGGCACAAGAACCCAUUCAUUAUAUAUUUUUUUAAUGUGGCCAAAACUAAGAUGGAAUUCUUCAAGUGGCUACUGGUGUUGACCUCCUGUGCCCUGAGGUCUAGGACCCUCUGCUGCCAGGAGGAUGUCUCACAUUCCCCUUGGAAAGCAGGUAGAGUAAAAAGACCUGCCCACAUUUUGAUUAAAGCUGCCUCUAGGUUUACUUUAACAUGAUUAUUUGGGGGUUGGGAUAAUUUUUCCCUUAAAAAAAAAAAAAAAAAAAAACCCACAUCUUCGAUGUACUUGAAUAGGACUUGAUUUUUGGUUUAGUUUUGCAGAACUCAGCUCUGGGGAGACAGUGAAAUGUCUUAGGGGUUUCUUUUUUUUAAUGGAAUUUACGUAUUUUAAGCACUUUAUUUCAGGUCAGUGGCCUAUUUUACUACGCAAGAUGAUUGACCAAUGUUAACACAGCCAACAUAUCUUGGAAAGAAUAAAUUAAGAACGGCUCCGAGAAGCCCCAAGGGCCCUCAGUAACUAGUUUCUAAUAGAUUCAAAGACAAAAGUUUUUACCUUUCCUUCAAAAAAAUUUUUAUCCCAAAUACAGUGCUCUACUGGCUAAUAAUCAAUAAUGACUCAUGUAGGAUCUGAUUUGCAAUGAAGCCUCGGGUCUCUCCUCAAUAGGAUUUCUCCAUAAAAGUCCCCAUGUGGCUAAGGAGUAGAACAGGUGCUGUCCCCACUUUGUACUUCAAGGAUAAUAGCCCCAAAUGAAAAUUGUACAAUAGCAUCAAGGUUUUUGAAAUUAAGAGUGGGGUCCUCUCUUGAAAUGUCUAAAAAAUGCAUAAGGAACACUGGACACUAGAUACAGUUACACAGCCCAAAGAUAAACUUGUGACAUAUUCUUACACUUAUUUUAAAGCAUAACCUUCACACCAUUGCAGAACUGUCACCGGCACCUAAGUAAAAUGUGGCUGGGGUAGGAAUAGGAAUGUGUGCAAAUCUGGUCUAAGGGCUAAAUUUAAGCUUGGGGAUUGACCAGUCUGCGUUUCCCUUAAAUCCUAAGACUGUCACAGUGCAGAUGGAGCCUUGUCUCUACACGGAACAGAUACACUCAUCGCAUCCCAUGGUCAUCCUCUCACGCAGACCUCUCUCUUUACCCUGAGGAGUCUCCGUUCUUGCAGGCAAGCUAGAAUGCAGGAGGAAGGAGCACUGCUCAGGUCCAUUCUCCACCAUGUCAUGUCAUCUGUAAAGCAGACGGUCCCCCUCAGGCAGGGUUGUGCAUAGAGGGUUUGCUCUGUGUCAACAGAGUGUGAGUCAUGCAACAACUAGGAAGGUGGCAGAAGGGGAACCGUGUCUGAGGAGUCAUUUCUGACACGCUGGUGGGUCACAGGGGCAGAGUGAGACUCCUGCCAUGCCUCUGCCAGCAGCCACCUGGAAAGUCUGAUCCUUUGCCUUGGUUCAGUGACCGUGUCCAUGGAUCUCUCUUGGAAGACCCCCUGGUGGUUAGAGUCACCCCAGCCUUAAGGCAGUGCCCUCAUUCUCAAUGACAGCCCAGCAGGACUGGAAUCAGGCAGAGCUGCAUGAAAUUGCCAAUGGUCUGCCAUUCCUGACCUAUAAAAACAGUAGUUCCUGCUUCUUCCUAUUUCAAAUCUUGCUCACACAGCAACCACAUCAUGUAAUUCCCAUACCUGAAAAUGUCCUACUGGCUUCUCAGUAUACUCAGAAUAAAACCUAGGCUCUUGACCGUGGCUUCCUCUGCAGUCCUCUAGGACCCAGCCCUCUGCCUGCACCUGCUUCCUGUCUCCGUGCUUUCCGGUACCUCCCUCUUUUCCUCUCAAGCUGGCUUCCCAGCUGUUCCUAGAACUCACCAACCAUUUUGUGCCUCAGGAUCUUUGCACGUGCCCCUUGCAUUCCAUGGCCGACGACUUCUUGUAAUUCAAACCUCAACAGCAAUUUCACCUUCUGGGAAAGGCCAUUCUUGUCCUUACAUCUAAAGGAAGUCUUCCAGUCCCUUCCAUUUUCUUCCAAGUACAUUAUCCAUAUCUAAAAUGUCCCUUUUUAUUUGCUCACCUCUUGUCAUUUCCUUCAUGAUAAUGGAGGAAGUAGCAAGCACCUUGCCUGUCUUGCUCUCUGUUGUGUCUCCACAGGUGCUUAUCAGGUAUUUAUGGAGUAAACCUAUUGGACGGCUUAUGUGCCACUGCAAAUCUUCUUAGCCUACAGCCUCCAUAGAGCCUAGCAAUGAGCAAGCUUCCUGAAGGUUCAGCUAGGAGAGCCUUGCCUUUUACCCCACCCCGAUGCUAGCCAUCCCCCUGAGGUAGGACCCCUCAGUGGCGAAUGAUAGGGGCUGGCAGAGAUCUGUUCUUCCCGCUCAUCCUCUACUGACAGUUCUGAAGCCCAGUUGUUUAGGUUCCCUCCACUGUCCUUGUAAGAUUCGGCUCCAGUCACAGUGACACUCAGUUACUGGAUGCGUCUUCUACUUCCUUGGUCUCUCCCAACCCUUUGUCCUAUCCCUACUCCUAUAAACUGUCUUCCCAGGAGUCCGUGUCUUAGAGCUCUUGGGGGAACCCAGCUGAAUGAGCUCGAUGAACCUUGUAGAGGCCAGAAGAUGAAAUGGUUUGCAUAAAUUUUAGAUCCUCAGUCCUCAUUCAAUCAGUUGUUAUGGUACCUGUCCAAUCUGGUACCAGCUGACAGUUCAUAAGGACCUCUAGUUUUAAGUCAGAACAUUUGAUCUCACAGCAACCCUGAUGGUAUCAUCCUGUUAUGAUCUGGAUCCGAAAUGUUCCCCGCAAGACUCAUGUGUUGAAGGUCUGGUCCACAACGCAGCAGUGUUCCGAGGUGGGGCUCUUGGGGAGUGAUUAGAUCUUGAGGGCUAUUAACCCCUAUCACUGGGAUUAACCCAUUAAUGAGUCCAUAAUUGGAUGGCAUUAUUAGGAGGUGGUGGAAACUAUAGGCGGUAUGACUUAUUUGAAGGAAGUAGGUCCCUGUGGCUUGCCCUCCAAGUACAUGUCUUGUCCUCCACCCCUUUCUCCCUUCUCUUUUUCUUUCUGCUUCCUGGCUGCCGUGAGCUGAGCAAAUUUUCUCCACCAUGCCCUUCCGCCAUGAUAUUCUACCUUAUCUCAAACCCAAAGCAAUGAAGCCAGCCGACCAUGGACUGAAACCUUGGGAACCAUGAACCAAAAAUAAAUCUUUCUUCCUCUAAAUUUUUUUUCCUAGGUAUUUUGUCCCAGAGACAAAAAGCUGGCUAACACAUCCCCAUUGAAUAGACAAGGAAACUGGAACACAGUGACCUUGAGUCACUGACUCAAGGUCGCCCAGCAGUUAGCAACAGAGCUAAGUGCAGGUGGCCCACAUCCAGGACUGGUUCUCUUAAUCUCCCCAUAUGACCACACUGUCCUAUCUCUUGACUUGGCCUUUCCUGGUAACCCAAUCUUUCCUUCUAAAGUCCCACUGACCCUGUUUUUCCUCUUUGCCGGAAUCCUAAGGUCUCCCAAAGUGGUAGGAGAACCCAAAGGUACACUUUACCCCUCUGACCCCAGGUGUGAAUUUCUGAAGGGAUCGUGCAGGAGCCCACUCUGUGCUGCCCUGGCAUUAAUCAUUAACUUGCAUUCAGACCAGCUGCAUGGACUGUGUCAUCCUAAGGAUUCUACUUCUGCAUUCUGUGUGGGCAAAGGGCUUGGUGAGUGGAAUUUCUGUGCUGCCUAGUCCAGCCCUGGGACAAGCAUUGCUGCCCCUUUCACGCCAUUUCCUCCUCUUUAGUCCUCAGAGAGCCUCUUGCAGGUUGUGCUAAGGAUUAAAAAAGACGAUGUUUUAAAGAGCCAAUGACACCUGGCUCUUGGAGCACUCAGCAGAGUGGGGCUGUGAUUGUUCAGUUAUGCUGCGACACUGGACUUGUGCUGGCUGGAUCCAGGAAGCGGGGCUGUCCGCCGAGUUGUAUCUUUGAGAACACCAUUUUGUUUCUUCCCUGUCUCUGAGUCAGAGAAGAUGGCAGUACAAGAAGGAAGGAGACCAGCCAUUUUCUUUCCUCUUCUUCCCACCUGUAAACUCCCUACUGCUGUGCUGAAGCCUGCCCUGGCUUUGCUUUCAUUGUUGACAUCUCACACUCGAGGCAUGAGCCUCUCUUCUUGCAGUGCAUGGCAUACCUGCAGGACAGUUGGGCUCGCAGGGGAGGCACAUGCGCUGUGUGAGCAGACCCUGACCUGUGCUGAGAUGUGGUCCCUGUGAGCACACUUCUCUGAAGCAGGUGAGUCAUCCGUGUCCUCGGAUACAGAGUCUCGGAAAGCACAUCCACAGGUAGUCCCUUCCAACUGUGGGCAUUGCCUUCCCCCAUCUGCGAAGGGGUGAAAAUCAGCGCAAAUGGGUGACAAACGCACUUAAAGGUUUCUUUCCCAGUCUGUGCACACGCAGGUGGAUGUGCUGUCCACCCACUUGCUGAUCAGAGUGAUGUGGUAUUGGAAUUUUUAGUUGAGGUUUAGUGGGAGUUUGUAGUUGCCAAGGGUGUUGCCCUGCCAGGGACAGAGUACUUUCUGGAGGGUGUGUAUUAGCUUCAAGAGGCACAGAAAUAGCUUGGGGCCAAUGGUUAGGGCAGGUUGGCACACCUCAGGCUUCCCCCUGAACUUGACAGUUCAUGCUUUAGGCCGUAUUGCAUCAGAGAAAUAAACAGCAUUUGGGAUACAGCUCUAAAUUCUAUGCCGAUCAUGGUAUUUACAAAGCCCAGGAAUAACAAAUCAGACAAAUUGAUUAAUAUGAAAAAUAAGGGGUCUUUCCUUGCUAGUCUCUUCCUUUGGAGAAAAAAAAAAUAGAACCUUUGAAUAAGCCAUAGAUAAAUUGUCUUGAUAUCUGUUAUUACUUUGGAUUUCUAAUGUAAAACAAAGUCACGCUUUGAGAAACUCAUUUUCCAGCUUUUAUAUUCAAUUUGAAUGGAAGAUACUAGAGUUUUUAUUGAACAUAAGUGGAGGAGAACAGGCCUUCUUCUUCUAGGUCUUCUACCAUCUAUUCCAAAAGAGUAUACUGUUUUUCUACUUGAGCCCCUUUAAAUCCCAUAGAUUCAAAUAGUGACUUUCCUAGUAGAGGAAUUUGUUGACUAUUUUCUGAGUGUUUUUUUUCUUUAAUAUUAUCUUUAAAUCUUGCUCUUGACUGUGAUUCUCAUUAGCACAUCAAGUCAGGGUUUUUAAAAGCAAGGCUUUUUUUCUCUUUCUUUCUCUUCCUUCUACCGGGGCGUGUUCAUCAAUUGUACAGUGCUGUGUGUGUUUCUGCUCACAGCUAGUGAGCAAAGCCAUCAACGUCUUCUGAGCAAAAAUCUGCAUGUAGUCUCAAGUUUAUGUAGAUCAGGCCAAUCCCUGAUCUUUUCUGGGCUUUAUAAUUCCAAUUUAUUCCAUCCUCUGUCUUAUUUGAGGAAAUGUCUCUGUGCUUUCAAGCCACACAGGAGAACUAGGUCAAGUGUUUUAGAUCUUUUUCUUUUCUUUUCUUUUUUUUUUUUUUUUUGUUGUUGUUUAACCAGAUUUUCAUGUUUCUAAAAAACCUCAAAAUGAAAAAAGAGAAGCAGGAUUGUGAAAGGUGAAAUCAUUAACUGGUCAUCAGAUGAGAAGUACAAAAUUACCAAUAACUUAACACGCCAGUGUAAAUAGGGGAAGUGCAACUGCCAUACAUGAUUUAUUCAAAUGCUUUCUUCAUUAUUCCCUGUUCACUUUCAACAGGAGGUGAAUUGGUCCCGUGCACAGUGAAGAGGCACUUUGCAUAUGAAAUGCUUGACUUUCUCACCCCCACUUUCCACCAGAUUCUUUGUUCCUGCACAGGACCAUUCUGAAAUGUGUCAGUUCCUCUUGGUUAUUGUUUUAAAAUCAUAUUGAUAUCAAUGUGAUGUGAGCGAGAUGCCUUGCAGAUUUGGGUUGCGUUGGGAAGAAGUAAAGCAGGGUAGCUUAGGUCACCCUACACCCACACCAGGAGCACACCUAUUGUUGGCUUGGUUCCUGAAAUGGUGGUUUAAAUCUGGGUCGGGUGGACUUGCCAGAUGAAAGAAGUUCAUGGUCAGUCAAGAGACUGUGGGAGUCAGUGGGAGAGGAAUGGAUAAAUGGGAAGACAGAGGAGUUAAGGAUCAGGGGUGACUCCCAACACUGGCACAGCCUCCUACCCAGGGACCCAGUGUUCUUGUGAGAUCACUUGUGGGGAGAUUCAUGUCAAUUCAGAUCCUCAGGCCACCUCUCCCCAAAUCUGAGGUUCUCUCUCGGUAGACCCUCAGGUAGGCUUGGGAUUCUGCCUUUUAAGCGCUCUAGUGACUGUGACUAGCAGCCUGGUUUCUUAGCUUCAGUUUUCACAUCCCUAAAAAAGAGGGUAAUCACAUCUAUUUCACAGAGUUGUUGGCAGGAACUGAAAGAAUGUGUGGGAAAGGGCCGUGGGAACCGUGAAGCGAGACAGUCUAGGACUUGCUGGAUUAGUGGGUUUGAGUCUCAGCCUCCUCCUGAAGGAGUUUCUGCUCUCUGCCCAGAUGGAGGUGGACCCUGGCAUGGAUCCCGAACGCUGAAAAACAUUUUGUCUUCGGAGGCAGCCCAUUCUCAAUCUUCAUCUUUCCUCAUCAGAAUGCCCAGAAAGACCUUCUAGCCCCUACCUCGUGUCUUGCUUCCUUCCUUCUUCUCCCCACUCCCUCCCUCCUGCCUUCCUUUCCUCAAAUAUAUAUUGAGUACCCAUUGUUCUGGGGAAAGAGAUGGUUCUCCCAUCAUUUUUCAACCCAGGCGAGGUCCAUGGAAAGAACAAUUUCAGUCAAGAUUUCGACCACUUUUCCAAUAACCUCUAAGAUAGUAUUGGCCAUAAAUAUCUAAAAUGAGAGUCCUGAAGACUUCCUAAGAGACAGCUGGUGGCUCAGAGGCCAUCAAACCCACAAGGAUAGGCUUUCCCAAGUGUCAUUGUAUAACACCUGCCUGUUGCUGGCUCCCAUAGGACCCCAAGAGAGACUCCUGCCAUGGACCACCCACAACUGUGUUCUUCGUUGGAGACACCAUCAUGCUCUGUCACCUAGAGUCCCAGGACACUUUAACAUCAAUCCCUUGAAAAGAUAUCCCAAGUUAUUUUAACUUACUAGAUCACAAAAACUACAAACUAGAGAUGUGAGUUAACGGAAUCGCUUCGCAACCAUUGUGGGAUGGUGGUCCUUUCUCCAAAUACUAUUUGACACUAACAAUAUGGUGGUAUAUGCUCAUCUGUGGAAGAAAACAUAUGCCGUGCUGCUUACGUGAAUUAUCUCCUAGGGAUUAUUGGAAGAAGUAUUGGAUACAGGUAUUGAGGGGGGCUAGACGUGGAGGUUAGAUAGCCUGUCUAAGGUUAUCCAGCUGGGUGAACUAGCAUUUUAACAUAAGUGCCCCUAAACCCGGGGCUACUCUGCCUCCCCCCGGCAUGGAUCUUAAACAGAUUCAGCCUUUAGGCCCUUGAAUGAGGGAUUUAGUCACUAAAAUAACAGAAGGAGCUUGCUGAAAUAGUCUGACUCAGCCUGCCUCAGUCAUUUCCGUGAAGCGUUCAACCCUUAGACAUUUGUCACACAAUGAGCCAGCUGCUCUCAGUGCAUUGGGAUGGUCCCAGGUAUGAGCCAUCUUAAGAAGAUUGAGGGAAGAGUCUCUUCAAAGCUUUCCAGUACCUUUAAAAAGAAGACCUAGAUCCUCUGCACUGCUCUCGGGGCUUUGCCCUGCCUACCAGUCAUUCACAAGCCACAUCGGCCUCCUUUCAUUUCCUUGGGUGAACCAUGCUUCCCCCCAAGGCAAGGUUCUUGCCUUGAAAUCCAGCCCCCUUUCUCUAUCCCUGCUCUUCACAUCUCAGCUCAAAAGGCCGUUCUUCAAGAGAGUCUUCUUUGUGUCACGAUUUAAAUAGUCCAGUGGGAAAUAAAGUCCCAUGGGGCUGUCUGCUGACUCUUGUACCUUCAAAACCCUGACAGUGCCUGGCACACAGUAACAUGUGCUGUGUGCUUAAUAUAGGAAGGAAGGCAGGGAGCAAUCGGGAGCCCUAAAUAGGACUUGGAUUUUGUGACUUGUCAAUCAUCCCAAAAUAAGGGGCUGAGGAGGUCCAGCCAUGCAUUUCCCUCUGUAUUUCCUACCAAAUCUUUAACAUUCUUGUCCCUGACUGACGGACGGCCUUCUCCCUGGGCCCACUCUUUGCUGCCUCAUCUCUGCUAACAGCACAGCCAGCCACCAGGCUGUCCAAGCCACGGGGCUUGGCAUCACCCUUGACUUCGCCCUCUCCCCCCGACUGCCCAAGGCCCUCCGAUUGAUUCUGCUUCUGUCACUUCUCCAGCACCUCCCUCUCAGACUGUCCCCACAGCCCCAUCUGUGCUGGUCACCUCAUUCCUGGCCUCCGCUUCCUACCUGUUCUCCCUGCCUGUACCCAUGGAUCUGAUGACCUUUUGAAUCCUAAUUCAGUCCUCAUAGGUCAAGGAGUGGAAACUUGGCCUUGAGAAUUGUAGGUGACUUGUAGGAGGGGACUAUUCCUGGCCCCAUUUCUUUCUUGAAAACUGCAAAUGCUUUCAUUAUUCAUCUUAUAUGAAUAAUGGUGGGGGUGGGGAAGCUGGGUAGUUCAAAGUAGAAUUUUUAAUAUUAUCAUUUUAUUUUUGGAAAUGGGAGAAAAGCAUGAGGGGAGCUGAAUCAAAGCUUGGCUGGUGGCCUCAUGUGGUCUAUUCCAAAGGACACCACUCCAUCUCCCUUGGUAUGAGUGAAAGAGGGCAUUUCAGAAUCAAGGGGAAGAAUGGGAAGGUUUUUGUUAUUAAAGGAGGCAAGGAUUAAAAGUGACCAAGUAAUACUGCAUUCAUGGCCUUGAGUUGCCCCAAAGGUUUGUCCUUUCUAGGGGAUGGAGAGGGUACACUGCACAGCCCCCCAACCUGAAGCCCAGAACACAUUUGCCGCACCCUAGGAUCAAGCUGCUCCUGUUGGGCAUGCAUCCCUGAUUCAGGCCCAGUCUCCAGCAGGCAGCGAGAAAAAACCUGUACCCCGCCUCCCCGUGCUUCCUGGCAUGGUAGCCUGGUUCUAUACAUGGUGCUCCUGGCCUCGUCCAGUCGUGUCCCCCACCCCAUCGCCUUUGUUACUGAACCUCCCUCUGCUCAGUGGGAUUUGCCCGGAGUGGGAGGGAGGCAACCAAAUGUGAAGUCUGAAGCUUUUCACAGUCCUUGCCUGUGGCCAAGGUUCUCAGAUCCCAUCAGUACUGUGGAUUCCUCCUCUCCAACAUCAGCAAGCCUGUAAUUUUGUAUUAUAGGAUAUUACGGGUCUCACAUUACAGGUAAUUUCUGUUUUACGCCCCUGUCUUCCUCACUGAAGUCAGAUCUUCUUAAGACCAGGAACUGAUACAUCCUGCUUUGUUUCUUUAGCAUCCAGCACAGUGAGUGGUACCCUAAAAACUGGAUAGAUGGAUGGAUGGAUGGAUGGAUGGAUGGAAGGAUGGAUGAAUGGAUGGAAGGGUGGACGGAUAGAGGGAAGUAUUCCUGGCUACAAGAUGAAUAAUAAAAGCAUUUGCAGUUUUCCUGAAAGACAGAGCCCAGGAAUAUCCUGCCCCAAAACUCCUAUGAAUGUGGAUAUCACCAUCACAGUCCUGAUUAUUCAUUGUGAAAGGAUCAAAAACCUUCGGCUAAAACUCUGAUUUUGUUACCUACACAGUUACUCUGUGUGGGAGAUCGUCUUACUCAAUUGGCCUUCUUUGCUGGUGCCCCUUUCCUGCCCUGUCCUCAGAAUUCCAAGGUACCCCUCCUGCCUGGUUGUUUUUUACUUGCCCAGCCUCUUCUUGAUAUCACUGCUCUUUUCCUGGAGGUGAAGUCCACACCCUGAGCCCAUGGUGGCUCCUAGGUCUGUCUGUGCCUCAGUUUGCCCUGACAUCCAAGCAAGGGCAGAACCAGCAGAGCCCUUGGCAGAGUUCUCUGAGGACAGCAGACCAGCACAGGGCAGGUGCAGGCUGCAGGGUGAGCCCAGGGAUGAGUUUUUGGAGGCUGUGGGGUACUAGAGCCCCACCCCCCCCUUCCCUGACAGUGUGGCUUCAACCACUCUUCCUUAAUAAUUAAAUAGUCCCUCCUCCCCCAGCUUCUUAUGAUGAAGUUUCUGGGAUAAGAGAGAAUUCACUUUUCGGCUUUCUUUAAUGUGGUCUCUUCAGGAACAUUAGACAUUUUGAUAUAAAGACCGAAAAUCAAAGAUGACAUCCUAUUUCAGAUCUUUUUUUUUUUUGAAAGAAGGAGGUUAUAAGUAUAAAAUCCCACGCAGUAAAAGCACUCAUAGCUAUAGGGAAUUAAUCUUAUUUUUAUUUGGAGAUAAAACUCCAAUUUCCCAUCAUUUAAAUUCAGACAUCGAAGGACCUCCUCCUACAUUUUGAACAAUGUACUGUUUUAUAAGAUAAUACUAAUGAUGAUGAUAAUAAACGAUAAGGUGAUCCCUGAUUGAUUUUUGUGCCAUGUAAAAAUAAAUGUUUAGAAACAAGGUCUUCCUCACUGAGAAAUUACUGCUGUGAAAUUCUAAAAUAAUUCUUCUCUCUCUCUCUCCUCUCCUGUUCUUCAUAUCCCAAUCAGAUGGCUAGAACGAUUCCUUUUGGCUUCCAGUCAGUGAUUUUUAUAUUCUUAAAACCCAGUUUCCAGCUUUCCUGUCUUGGGAGUGGAGCUGAAGGCUGCAUUUUCUCUGGUGAUAAGCUGCCAGCAGGUUUUCUGUCCCACAGCCACCCCCACGCCCUUUUGGGAGUACAGUACCUUUGCUUGUGCCUCAUUUCCAUAAUAUCACCACGUUUCCCAAGUGCUAUGUAGCACACAUUUAUUUUUUACUAUGUGUUUUUCCUAUGAAUCUAAAAGUAAGAUAUGUUCAUUUGAGACAAUUUGGAAAAUACAGAAAAGCAAAAGGGAAAAAUAAGUGCCACCUACAGCGGUACCCCCAGGGGAUGGCAGGCGCUACCACCUGCAUCUGAUUCCUCUCGUUUUGGUCUCUGCAGAUAGGAGCUGUAAGGUGGAGUUCCACUCCACAGCCAUUUCGUUUCCUGUCUUCCUCCCACUUUCCAUUUUCUGUUGAGCAUGUUCUCCUGAUAUUAAAUGUUCUCUGAAGACAGAAUUUUUCAAUACAUUAGCAAUAGCCUACCAUGUGGAAGUACCUGAAUUUAUCUAAUUGUUCACCUCCUGCAGGAUGUUUUGGUUGUUUCUGAUUUUUCUCUAGAAUGAAUAGUGGCUGUUCGUUGUUAAUAAACCUUCAUGCAUGUCCCCGACCAGGUGCCUCUCCUCCUGUCACUUUUGAAAACCGAGGCCUAUUGCCCACACAGAAAAACACAGACCUUUCACGUCUAUUUUUACAUACAAAUGCACCGUUUGUUAUGUCACGUUUAAGGCUCCUUUUAUGCUUCCCUAGAAAUUAAUUUUGUGCUUGGUUGUCUGUUUGCCAGUAUUCAAACACAAGCUAACAAUCACCAGGGACCUUUCAUAUGUGGUCUCAUUUAAUGUGUGCAGGCACCCGGCGAUGGGGAUGCUGCUGUUCCAGUUUUGUAAUUGAGAAAAUUGAGAGUCCAAGCCCCUGAGUUAGUUUCCCAAGGUCAGCAAGCCAGUAAGGUGAGUUAGAACGGGAUCCCAAUAUCGCCCGCAUCCAGAGCUCGCUUGAGCUCAAUAUGAUGUUUUCUCUGAGACAAUUAGAAGUGAAAGCUGUCGCCAUCCUUCGACCAGGAAGCCAUUGGGUUUCAUUUCAUUUGUUUUUUCCUUGGAAACUAAAGUUGGGGAUCAGUAAUUGACUGCACCCACUCUUCUGGCUGUGGCUAAUAGUUGAAAUCAGUAGAGAACUGGCUCCGCGGCUUUCUGGGUUGGGUGGUGUUUGGCUCGUAUAUUUUUGCUCAGGGCUGCAAAGCAAUGUCGCUGUCAGCGAGUUGCAAGCCCUAGGCACCCCUCCCACACUCAGGCUUUCCCCAGUUCUGUUACCAAGAAGAUGAGCGCUUCUGAGCCCAGAACCUGAUGACAACCAGUUCACAAGUUGUCUCAGGCACGGUUGCCAAGGCACAGAGAGAGGCGGCCUUAGUUAAGGUACACAGUUUAGAAUGGGGACAUGAGAGAAACUUCCAGUCUAUUUUAUCCAGCCUGCCCAGUUUUUACAUACAUGACACUGAGCUUGGAGUUGACUGCCUGGGAAGACAAUCUUUGAAAGAGAGCCCUGGGACUUGAACCCAGGACGUAUUCCUCACAGGACAGGUGCAUUCUGGGGUGGACGGCCAGGACUCUUGAGAGGUCACUGCUGCCGCUUUGAGGACACGGCCGGAUGAAGGGCAGUCAGAUACCACAGUGUCCCAAGUGCAUUUGCUCUGUUGGGAAAUUUAACAUGAUGGAAAAAAUUGUCUUUCCCGAAUACCUCAGUGUCAAUGGCUAGGAUUCUAGGAUAAGCCAUUUGGGGUACAAUGGGAUGGAGUUAGGGGGAGCCCUCACCCCAAGGAGUAGGCCAGGUUAACAAUAGCUCGUUGAGUAAGUACGGUUCAAGGUGUGAAGUCAGUUGAUUCCAGGGUUCUGGUUUGCUUUGUUGGGCCAGAGCUGCGUAGCAGUGGGGCUGUGUAUACCCAGAGGCUCAUAUGCGCAGGGAGGUUGAGCCUCGGUUGUGAGUCUACACAAGUCACCCUCCUUGCACAUCAGCCCACAGCCCCUUGUGUGCCUGGGAGGAUGUCACUGUCUUAGGGUUCUUUCUUCCUCUCUGGGAAAGGAGGCUGGUCACUCAGCUAGCCAGUGGGGAUAAUAAUAAAGCCACCUGAGGGUGGGGCACGAGAUUUAAAUGAGCCCCUAGAUACAGAGCAGGUACAGUGGUGCCAGACUCCAUUGUUGGCUUUUAUUAUUUUCCUCUUCCCAUUACUGACCCUUAAUUCUUCUACAUUCCACUUUUUUCUUCUUUCUGCAAUUCUUCCACGCUACUAGACUCCUAUGUCCAUGUUCUUGACAAAAAGCGUAAGCCAUGCCGCUGUGCAAUAUUCGUAUUGCUUUAUUUAGAGAUUAGCCGCCUCCUUCUUGUGUGUGUGUGUCUUCCCUUGUUAGAAGACUUGAACGACAUGUUUGAAACGAUGGAGGCUGUCCCUCUAUUGGGCCCUUAGAAAACAGGAACUGCGGGGACACCUCAGCAUGUGGCCAGGAUGUGGCCCAGAGUAAGUGUUAGCAAUAGUCAGUGAUUUUCCUUACAAGGAACUUGUAGAAUGACAAGGUCAUUGGGGCUCAUGGACGUCCUCAGGUAAUCUACAGAGACACACUGGCAGCAGCACGUUCUCCUCCCUGAUGGCUGCCCUGCCUUCUUCCCUGGAUAGCAUUAGUUUUCAGGCCCUUUUCUUCCAAUAAGUGAUCUUCCUCUGCUGCAGAUAAAAAAAUAAUAAUAAUAAUGUGUUUUUACCUUGUCCUUCUUCCAAUAAUGUGUUUUACCUUGUCCUCCAUUCCUUUGUGGGAAAAGCAAGGAGAGAGCCGGAUACUAUGGCACAUGCCUGUAAUCCCGGUGACUCAAGAGGCAGAGGCUGGAGGAUGGCAAGUUCAAGGCCAUCCUGGGUAAUUUACCAAGACCCUGUCUUACAAAAUUAAAAAAUAAAAAUAAGAAGAAGUCUGGGGAUGUAGUCAGUGGUGGCGUGCCCCAGGGUUCAAAACUUAGUACUACCAAAAAAAAAAAACAGGAAAAGGAGAAGAUGCUAGGAGCCAGAAGUAAACAGUCCACUAAGAACAUCUGUCUUCUCUUUCCUGCCUGGGGAUUGGAGAUGGUGAGAACUAGCUCUAGGGUUUUUUUGUUUGUUUUGCUUGUUUUCUUUUUUUCCUUUUGGUUUGUGGCAUCUCUGAAGCAAAUACAAUGUCAGCAUUUCUUAUUUGCCGAACUGAUUGCUAGGAUAAAGGAUCUGAGUGCUAAGAGGUCAGUGUGGAACUUGCCCACCUAAGCACCUUCAAGCUCAUACCAGCUUAUCUUCCCUCCCCAUUCAGGUACAAACAAUCCAUCUGGGAAAUUCUGAUAGCAUACCUCGGGCUAAAUAUGGCUCCAGAGUUCAGGGAUGGUAGGUUCUAAGGUGCGGAUGAAAUUUUCUGACAAAAUCAAAUACAUGCAUCCUGCUACAGUGCCUUUUGUAAAACUGUACUAUGAAAAUAAUUUUCUGACUUUUUCCUCAUUAUAUAAUUAAAACUUAAAAUUUUCUGGCUCUAUAGGAAAGUGUAAGAAAAUGUUACAUAAUGAGCUGAGUGUGUAGCCCAGUGGUAGAUCACUUGCCCAGCACGUGUGAGACCCUCAGGUUUGAUCCCCAGCCAUGUGUACACACACACACACACACACACACGGAGAAUAAAAUAUUACAUAAAGGGGAUCAUAUUCUACAUGUGCUGUUAUUUUUUAUUGUGUACCUGUUCUAUUUAAAAAUAAUCCCUGCAUCUCUGCUUCUCCCACUAUGGCCACCAGUGUUAAUAGCUGCUGGUCUCUUUCCAUACUCUUCUACACGGACAUAAAGUCAUACGUCUAUGUAACAUAGAUAAAGUAUGAUAUGGUCAAUGCUUUAUGCAAAUGAAGUCAGUUGCUUUAUACUAAUGAUGUCAGAUAUGCCUCUCUACGUUUUACUUUUGUCACUUAAUAAAUUGGGCCGAUCCCUCCAAGUGUACACAGCCAGCCCAAACCCUCUCCUUUUGUGUGGCUGCAGAAUCUGUAAUGUAGAUGGACAAUGCUGGUCAGCAUGCUUCGUGGGCUGCAUUCCUUGCAUUUCCCACUUACUGCCCAAGCAGACUGCUGUUUUGGGCACACGUGUGCAUACUGUAAUGCCCACUCACUUUUCUUUCAGCAAUUUAUGCUGGCUGGAAUCCUCUCUGCUGGAAGUAAGAAAGAUCUGACUCAAGCUUGCCUAAAAAGUAAGGGCUUAAUAAUCACAAUAAAAGAGGGACACAAAUCCUAAGUAACAAGUAAAUAAAAUGAAUCCAGCAACUUAAGGACUCUAUCGUGACUAGGAAUUGCAGAGGUGGCUUUCCAUUGGAAAUUGAUCAGUGGAAUUGACCAUCAACCCAGAUUCAAAAGGAGAAAAGGUACUCAGUCAUCUCAGUAAGUGCAUAAAAAGUUGUUGUCAAAAAAUUUACCUUUAUUUCCGAUUUUUAAAAAAUUGUUAACUAACAUGAAUAGAGGACCUGCUAGAGGACAUUUACCCAAAAGUUACAGUAAACAUCCUGAAUGGUAAAGUGUAAUAUGCAGGAAAUAUAGCAAAGAUGCUUAGUUUGGCCACCUCUCUUUGACUUGUGUUCUGGUGAUCCUAGUCAUGAAAUACAACAGCAGAAAGAAAUACCAUUGAAAAGGGAAGAGAUUUCACUUUUUGAAACCCAUAUGGUAGUCUACUUAGAAAAUCCAAGAUGAUUUGUGGAAUUAGAAGUAUUCAGUGAAUUGGUGCCAGGUGCAGUCGAGCAGGCUUGUAAUCCCAGUAACUCCAGAGGCUGAGGCAGGAAGACUGCAAGUUCAAGACCAGCCUUAGCCUCAGCAAUUUAGCAAGACCCUGAAAUAAAAGUAUUCAGUGAAUUCGGAAAUUUUGAUGAAUACCAGUUCAAUGACACUCCUAAGCACUUCUAAAAAGAAAAUGAAAUUUAAAACAUUUCAUUAACUAUAAAAACUAAGAAACUCAGAAAUAAAAUUACAACCAAAGUGUGCGAUAUGCACGGAGAUGGUAUUAAAACCUCAUUGAAAGACAAAGAAUAUCUAGGUAGAGACAAACUAAUACUGCAGAAAGUGACAUGUUUCCCUAAAUUAACAGAUUAAUUUGAUGCAAUUUCAGUAAAAGCUUUGAUAAAAGUUUUCCACGGAAUUUAAUAAGCUGACCCAGAAAUUCACGUGGAAGACCAAAGAGCUGACAAAACCCAAGGAAAAAGAUACAGAAGCCAGCCUUGCACAGCGAGGUUGUCUUCAGGAAGAUACAGUUCUUACAAGAAGGUGGUUUGCAGAGAUCGACGUGUUAUAUUUGGGUUCCAUCCCUUCAGCGUGGGGCACGUCUGAGUUAUUUUUCAGGGGUGGCAUUAUCAAUCAGUGGGAGAGGGGCGCCAACUCAGAACACUGUGCUAGGAUGACUGGUUUUUUCAUACAGGGAAAUAUAAACUUAGAGAGCUUUCUCACAUCUCACACAAAAAUAAAUUCCAGAUGGAUCUGAGACCUAAAUGUAAAACAAAGUUUUAAAAUGUUUAGAAGAAAAACAGGCAAAUAUCUUUACGACCUCAGGGAGGGAAGCAUUUCUUCUCCACACGACCAAAAAAUACCACCAAGCCUAAAAAGAUUGAUAGAUUUCAUGAUAUUAAAGUUCAAACUUAUAAUGACCCUAGGAACCAUAUUUAAAAGGUGGGGAAAUAGGCCCCUCGUUGGGAGAAGUUAUCUGUCUGCAGCUUGUGACCAUCAACUAAUUCACAUUACAUCCAGGAACUCCAGGAUUCAACGAGAAAACCACUAAGCAGCAGGAGGAGCAGUGGCCAAAGGAGUUGGAAAACUGAUUAGUCUUCAAACAGAUGAAAAGAGUCUCAAUUAGUAAGUGGGGAAAAUGUAUGUUAAAACCUCCAAAGCCACCAUGAGCUAAAUGAUUAGCUAAAAUGUCAAAAUCUGAUAAAACCGAACCCUGGAGAACAGGCGGGAAGGGGAACCUCUCAUCUCUGGAAUGCAGCACUAUCAGUUCAGCAGUGUGGGCCCCACCGCUGAAUCUCAACAGCCAGCUGCAUCAUGUGGAGUUCUGCUGUAGAGGAACCCCUCCAGGGGUGCAAGGAGGUGCUCCCAGAUGUCAGUCACCAUAAUAGAAAUACAAAAACAACCCAAAUGUCCAUCUAUGGGAGAUGAAAACAUAUCUAGAUGGAAUGUCCACUCAUUGGAAUUCUGAGUAGCAAUUAAAAGGACAGGGAUCAACGUGGCUAAACCUCAGAAGUACAAGAGCGAUUGGACUUGCUGAAUUAUGUGUAUGUGAUCAUGCCAUUUAUUUAUUAUUUUUUGGUAUCGGGAAUUGAACUCAGGGGCACUUGACCACUGAGCCACAUCCCCAGUCCUAUUUUGUAUUUUAUUUAGAGACAGGGUCUCACCGAGGUGCUUAGCACCUUGCUUUUGCCAAAACUGGCUUUGAACUCGUGAUCCUCCUGCCUCAGCCUGCCGAGCUGGUGGGAUUACAGGACGGGCUCUUGUGAUUUAUUUUUAAAAACACUUAUGAGUCAAACUAUAUAAAAUAGGCAUAUGUAGGUUAAAAAACAGCCAAUAUUGGCUAAUACAAUAUAGUUCAACUUAAUACAUGUAUGAUAUAAAUAUUAAAAAGUGAGGGGAAGUUUACUUCCCAACUUCAGAGUAGUAGUGGUUGUGUUUGGAAAGGGAGAGAGAGGAGCAUUUUUAGGAGAAUCCACCGGAGAGCUUCUAAGGUGACUGCCAAGUUAGAUCUAACACAUGGAACUGAAGCCUAUGGCACAAUGUGAACAUAUGUGAACUCUUGAGUUGUGGACACUUGCAUAUUUUAUAUCUUAUUCUCUGUACAUUUCUCUGUGUUGAAAAUGAAUCAUAAAUUACACAGAAAACCAAUAAAAGGAAUUCAUUGUCAAGAAAGAUCAGUGGUGGGGGUGUAUACAGAUGUUCUUCAUAUUUGUGUUUCAUUCUCAGACUGAAGGCAAGAUGGACACAGUCAUUUAUGGCCUGGUGACUGAAAGCAACAACAGUCUAAGGAAGAGAGAGGCUUCCAGUGUGAACAAAUCUCCCAGAAGCCCCGAGAAAGCUUCUGCUUCAGUCUCAUAGAUCUGGAGUAGGUUACAUGUCCAAUCCUGGGCCAAGCUAUUGGGCUAGGAUAAUGCCAAGAGCUGGUUGGGCGAGACCUGUGUUCCCGAGCCAAUCACAGGCAAGGGAGAGAGGCUCCCUCUUAGACCUUAGAAGGAGCAACAGGAGGUCAGAUGGAUUAUAUAGGGGCAGGUGGAUUUAUGAAGAAGUCCAGCAUUCUGUUAAAAAAGAGAAAGGGAAGUGGGAGCAGAGUAGGUAACCACCCCAGCUGCGUCUUCAAAAAAAAAGAUGGCCGAGAGUGAGAUGAAAUGUAAUGUGACUUAUAAGUUGAAAUCUGUGUUAUUGAUUGCUUCUUUAAAAUUUGAAUUAAUUUGCAUUUCCACCAGUGAUAUUAAGAUAAACCUUAAUAUCUUUACCCACCAACAGGGGGAUUUCUCACCUAUCAGAUUGGUAAAAGGAGUGAUAAGUGAUGGUGUGUUGUUUUGUGUAUUUUCUACGAUCCCCAGGGUUGGGCAUCUUUCCUUGUGUUUAUUGGCCAUUUGAAUGUGCUCUUCUAUGAACUGUCCAUUCAUAUCUCUUGCCAGAAUAAGAGUCCUUGUCAUCAAGCUGUUAAACUAUGUAAGGUUUGGGUAUGUAUUCAAGACCUUCUCAGAGUUGCAAGGUGAGAAGAAUUGAUCGUCCAUACCUGGAAGCAGCUCAGUGGGUUGAUAAUAAGAACCACUCAACAAGCAGGACACCCUGGGAUGAUUGUCCCUGCUACUCUGUCCCAAUCACUUGUUUGUGGUAUCACAUUAGGGAACUGAGAGUAGGAAUGUGGCUUGCCUGUGUUUAAAAUGAAAGGGCUGCACAGCGGUUUGUAAGGGGCUUUCCAGUUGUGCUUUGUACCACUGCUUUGCACAGGAUUGGAGAAGCUUUGGGUGCCCUUGGCUCACCAGAAGUUCAAGUUUCCCUUCUUCCUUGUAGUGACCGCCUCUCACUGAACAGGACUAUCUCUUGACCAGAGCCUGUCUUCUGGGCAUCUUGGAAUCCUGGGUUCAGUCUGAGUUGGGUCUUUGACUCAUCUUGGAUGCUUCAGUCAGGAGGCAGAGCCUUUGCCAAUAUCAACCUUUCCCGAUUGCUCCUUGUAGGGUACAGGUGGGAAAUUCUGUUUCUGGAAGUAGGCUAGAUCUUUAUUAUCUUCAAAGCAGCCCUGUAACAGCAAAGCCUGACAUCAAGGCCAGGGUUUGACAUCUAGACUGUAAGGCAACAAACAUACUCUCAUUAGGUUAGCUGCAGAUUUUAGAAGACAUCUGUUGGUGUAUGAGGAUUCUUAAGAAUCCACUUGACACCCUCCUCAUUAACAUCUGGACAGACAAGAUGCAAACUAUGGAAGUCAGCUGGCUGGCAGGUGCAGGGGGCGCUGUUAAGAGGAGCUGACACAGGCUGGGAAGCCAGCUCCAAUGCUGAGCCCCCUGCCCCCUUCCCUCUGUGGCCAUGUGCCCACAGUAUGGUAAAUAAUGGGGUAACCCCUGCCAAGAACGACUCCUACUUCUUGCCUCCCCACAAGCCCUAGAUGCUCACCACCUCUCGGUAUAGUGACUUCAUAAAGCUAAGCCCUUUCUUAGCUUGGAGAACACCUUCUUCAGAGUUCUACCUGUUGCUACCUACAGACCAGAGCAGCUAGAGAAUUCCAGUAGUGCCCAAACUGCAAACCCCACCUGUCCUGCAGCCAACACGGGAGCUUCCCUUGUUAGUCUCCAAAGCAUUUGUGCAAAAUGGUAGAUGGCCAUUCAUUCCAGCAUUUCUGUGCCUGCCCCUCCUCUGAGGAACUUGCUACCUUUUCCUUGGUGACUAUGAAGGACAGAGAGAACCAGAGAAAUCAUCUUUGUGGCAUUUCAGUGUGGAUGGUGACUUUUGUUUCUUUCCUGGAUUUUAACAUAAUAAGACCUGUCUCAUUGUUUUAGGAACCUAAGUCAUUAUUUGCAUACAGUUGUUUCAUUGAAAUACCAUCCAGUCAGCACCCAGAGUGGGGUUUAGUUACAACACCUAUAAAAUGCAGGGCCCCUUGGGGCUGUGGUUGUGGUUCAGUGGUAGAACGCUCACCUAGCUCGUGUGAGGCACUGGGUUCAAUCCUCAGCAGCACUUAAAAAUAAAUAAAUAAAAUAAAGGUAUUGUGUCCAUCUAUAUCUAAAAAAAUAUUUUAAAAAACAGGGCCCCUUUAACCUGGUUCUCUUUAGAACCUUAAACUCAUAUUGUCAAUAUAACAGAUGUCUAUGGAGGGUACCCCACAUCCAGCUGGGUAAUUGAUUCUGAUCAAUCAAAAGGGGACUCUGCCAUGCCAUUAUUAAUGAUUUGGAAUUGAGGUUCUUCUAUAGAAAAAAACUAUCUUAGCAGAUAAAUUAUAUUUGGAUAUUUCCUAUUAUCACAUUGUUAUCUAUAUUUCACAUUUGAGUUAUUUUUCCCCCCCUCAAUCCAGUCAGGUUUUCAAAGGGUAAGGAAGGAGAAGUCUGUGUCCUACUUAAAGUCAACUUCUGUUAACUCGUUGCCUGCAGGAUACAAUGAAAAUGCCUUUGCCUAUGAAGUGCCUCCCAAGCAGCCAGCCUGAUCUAGGCUCAAGCAUUCUGAAUUUGUCACUGUACCCAGGCACACUGUACCUGUGCAUACCUCACUGGGCAUGUUUGUCCUCCCCAACCUGCCCAGGCUGACCAACUCCCCCUGCCCAGCACAUCCCGACCCAAGGUAGCUCCUGCCAAAGCCUUUCUGCUCAUUCAUGUUAAGGGCUCCUCUGCACCUUUCUGUGUCUUGUUCAACCCUUAUGAGAGCACCCUAAAUGCACAUUCUCUGCUCAUCUUCUUUCUUACUCACUGGUCUGUGAGCUCUUUGGAAGUCAGGAGUCUUUACUUUGAUUUGUAUUUCUAGCAUCAAGUUAAAAUAUAUAUCUCGAGUGAGAGAGAGACAGAGACAGACAGACACUGGAAGGCCACAGGUAUCUAUAAAACAGAUCACUAGAACAAGCCCAUGCAUCAGUUAUGGGAUCAGGAUAUCAACUCCUUCAUGUUGCUUCUUACUCCUAACAUUUGGGUGAGAUCAGGUUCUGGGAAUCUCAGUCACGGUUGGUGCCUCCACCUAGCAAAGGUGAAUUGGGAACUGAUGAACUUUUUAUGAGGCUUUGUUUGGGGUUCACAUUAGUUUGGGUUUGUAUUUUUUUUUUAAUUUUAUUUAUUUAUUUUUCAUAUUUGAUCUCCAUCAUCUCUCAGAUAUGAACGUUUCCCCAUGUCACCCAACAUUUCUAAUUGACUGUUUCCAGUCUGGAUGCAGCUUUAUGCCAAGGUAUUUUGACUUCCCUUGAUGUCCUAAUUGACAUCAGAUUUAAGUAGAAACAUUCAGAAACCUAUUCGAUCACUACUCUGACAGCUGUCUAUUUACACUUAUAGAUUUCUGAACAGAAAAAGAGUCGCUAAAACUUUCCUAUUUAAACAUCUUCUAGUAAAGCCAGCUUGGGAAAAAAUAAAAAUGGAAGCACUUCAUUCUUGGAGGUUCCUUGGACUCUAUGCAUCAGGGUUGAGGUCCCCAGUCCCAGCUGCCCUGAGGUCCUAUGGGAAGGGACUCAUGGCCCAGGGUAGGAUAAGUUCCUCCUGGUAAUCUGUGAGGUGCAAGUGCCCAAGUCCAUGCCACAUAACCAGUUGGAGGUUUCUGAGGUGCUGGCUGGUGGAGCCUUUAUUGUCCAUUAGGGGGAUGAGUGUCUCGGGAGCCCUUCCUUUGGAAGCCUUCCAGGUGGCAAAUCAACAUCAGUCAUACUGUAUUGGACACUUUGCUCUCUUAGCUGUUUAAAUUCCUGUACUAUGAUGGUGCAGGAAAGAUACAGAUCAUCAAACAAGAAUGUUUCUAUUCUCAUGUAUAAUGAAUCCAAUGUGGUAGUGUAGUAGUACGUGUACCUACUUUAUAAGUAAAUAUGCAGGUAUUGGCAGUAUGGUCAGAAUUUUUCUUUUACCGUUAGGGUUGUGUGCUCAAAAAAGUUUGGAGACAAUUACAUUAGCCAAUUGCCAUUAAUCUAGACAAGCAAGGAUCAGUUUUCAGUUAAAUGGAUACAAAUGUUAAGAGGCUUCAAACUAGGCCUCAAUUAUGUAAGUCAAGUAUGGUAAUUUUCCUCACAGCCUCGUGUAGUAUGUUGGUGUGGACUUAGUAGCACUUGGGUUGCUUCCUGCUGAAUCCAAGAGUGUGAGAUGUCAUAUUUGACAUGUAUCAUUAGCCUCUGUGUGUGCACAAUAGUGAAGAAUCUUCUGGGGGGGGGGGGGGUGUAGUACAGCCAAUGCUAUCAUUCUAUACAAAAGAAAAACGAGAGGUAGGUGAUAGAGAAGACCACAAUUCGUAUUUUGCUGCCUGGUUCAAUAAUUUUAUUUACAUGCAAACAUUUUGGGUUUAUUAAGUUGGAAUUUGGUGGUGUUUUAUAAUCCCAGUUUUCACCAAUAUGUAGCUUUCUUUGUCGAAAGGGUGAGAACAAGGGCUGGGAUUGUGGCUCAGUGGUAGAGUGCUUGCCUAACACGAGUGAGGCACUGGGUUCAAUUCGCAGCACUGCAUACAAAUAAACAAUAAAAUCCAUUGACAACUAAAAAAGUAUUUUAAAAGUGGGAGUGAGAGCAAGAUAAUGGAGGGGCUGGGGUUGUGGCUCAGUGGUAGCUUGCUUGCCUAGCACAUGGGAGACACUGUGGGUUCGGUCCUCAGGACCACAUAAAAAAUAAAUAAAAUAAAGGUAUUGUGCCUAUUUAAAAAAAAGAUAAUGGAGACAGAUUAAUGAUUCCAGAGGUCAUUUUUGGUGAUUUGGUUUCUUGAUUCUGAGGAUCAGACCCUGGAAAGUUGGUCCUUAUUUUUUACACUUCCUUUGUAGAAUCCAAUGAGAACCAACUCCACAUACACCAUGGUUCAGGUAGACCAGGGAGAAUCUUCUCACACUUUGGAAAACCUUAUCACCAUAGAAAGUCUAUGGAAGAUGUAUAGACUUGAUCUGAACCUGGAAGUCCUCCCAGCCAGGUGGGACCUCAGCUUCCCCUGGCUGAGCCUGUAACCAGCUGUGACCUACUUCUCAUAGUUUCAAGUUCUCCAUCAAAAGACUUCUGACUGCUUCAGAGAAAAUCCUGCUCCUCCGCCCCCAUCCCAGACAUAGGCAUUAGGUAAUAUUGACACGUGGAAUAUACUUCCUCGGGCAGCCUUAGAUUCCAACAAAACCAACAACAACAAAAACAUCCUCAGCCCAGGGAGUAAAGCAUAAAGGCACUUAGUAAUUGCCACCACUAUUAACAGGACAAGAUUAAUGGGCACUCCCUGAGGACCAUGGCAUAGACAAAGCAAACUGCCAGCUACAAGCAGCUCCCUGGCAGUCAGCGAAUGUCACCCCCUCUCUCCCGCUCCAGCGGGCUCAUCAGAAUGCAAGGGAUAUGAUUAUGUGGAGAGACCUGACAAAGCCAUUUUUAAAAGAAAAUCAUAUUCUUAAAUUUUUAACACUUUGUUAACUCUGAUUAGAUUCAAGUUGCUGUGUGAUCCAGCACUGUGCCUCAAAGACGGUAGCUAUGGAUAAUUGCCUUCCGAUUAUUAGUCUCACUGCUGAUCAGGCGAGGGCAGAGGAACUGGAAGGACCUUGCUGGACUCUUAUAAUCCAGCCAGCGUCCAAGAAUGUCAUCAGCAUCCAUGUUUCUUACACACUUUUCAGUUAAUAGGGCAGGUGUGUUUGUGGAAAGCCAUGGAUUUCUGACCCUCUGUCAAACAUCAAGUGCAGGAUCGAGUAGGGAGGAGGUCUUGAGACAGUCUCUGAGUGGUCCCUGGGUUCCAUCUUCAGUAACUGACGAGAUCUGGGAUGGAGGUUUCAGAGGUGAGCCAGCCAAUACAUAAGCAAUUACAGGCCCUGUUGACUUUCUUCUUUAUCUUUGGAAUGCAGUUUAGCAGGAAGGUUCUGGCUUCCAAAUAAUUCAAGUUUUAUCAGUCCUCUCUAGUGGCUGGGCCUUCCAUGGCUAAUCAGCUCAGAGCAACCCAAGAGGUCUUUGGUGAAUGGUCAUUUCAGCUCCUUGUAAAUACUUCUGAAUUGGGACAUUUCUCUAUGAACAGCCCAGAUAAACAAAGGACCCAGUGUAUCAGGUUUUGUUGGUAUUUUGACCAAGUUUGUUGAGCCAGCUUUCUUCAUACCAACCCAUUCUUGCAAUUCGAAACAUGACUGAUGGUAGACUCUGGCGGCUAUCUUCAGGCACGUGCUUUUAUAAUCCAUGGCCUUUAGCAGUGACCCUAGUCUUGUGGUCGGUCCCAAAAGCUAUUUUUUGUGUUUAGAUGAGGAGAUUUUCCUUGUCAUCCUAGGUACCUUUUACCGAGGUGUGCAGAAGUGAUCUGCUGCCUGAGGUCCGCGUUGGGAGAUCAGGUUGCAUCUGAUUGAUUAGUAAUGUCUUCCACAGACACAGAUUGGGACUGAUCUGCUGUCAGUCUAUCACCCCAGAGCCAGCCUUCUAACAUAAGAUCCCCCACCACCCAUCACCAGCCAUUGGGGGUUUCACAACAUCUUAGUGAGGGGUCCUGUUAGUGAGGACUCACCUGAGGUCACCAAGAGGCAGCCCCUGAACUCAGAGCAAUCAGUGUCUGCUCUCCCAAGUGAAAGGUGACUUUUCUACCCUGGAGUGUGUCCAGCCUGUGUUUUCAAGGUCUUUUCAGCAGCACAGAGACUGUGUGGUUCUGGGAAGUAUUUUCCCCAUGCAAGCAUCUGAGCUGAUUGCUGUUCCGUAGGCAGAACUGUCAAGUGUGAUCAGGGCUUCUCCCACAAAUCUCUUUCCAUCAGAGAUAACAACUUUUAAAAACAGAUUAAAUCCCACAGCAGCAAACUACGGGAGACUCUCUAGGUUCAUCGCAUAUAUAGGACAUGAUGAUGUCAGAAUAUUGACUGGGGCUCAGAGAUACUAAUGGAGAUCUUCUGGUAAUCGUUUUUUUUUUAUAAGAGGAUUUGGUUUGGGGAUAGAAUUUUGCUUACGAUUUUGGCCCACUUGUGCCUUUGCAUAACAUCCUUAAAAACUAGAGUAAAUAAGUGGAUAUAUUUUUAUUCUUCUUCUUUGCCAUGGGUAUAUUUAUAUAUCAUUAUAUAAAGGCCCUUUUAGCUCACAUCAGAAAGAUCUCUCCUACUUUCAAAGGAACUUUAUUGACAAAUUCAUUAGAUAGUUUUCAGUCUUCACAUUUUAAGGAGAGCUUAACUCUCGGGUUGGAAUACUUAAUCCAAUUUUAGAACUUCAACUUUCGUUCCACUCAGAAAUCAGCAUGUUGUUAAACUACUGAGAUUCACGCGUGGAAGGUACAAGGACUGAUGUGGACGGGUGUCCGUCCCAUGGCGUGCUCCGUGGACCGUGCUAAGUGGAGAGUACUGGUGUGUAGAGAAAGGAGCAUUUGGUAGGGACGCUGGUACCCUCUGGGCAUCUUUGCAUUUAUUUCUGUGACAUCCACAUUGCUACCUGUCGGGGGCAGUCAGUCACUGCAAGAUGCUGCAGAAUGCGCCGUCCUGAGCUGGGUUCAGCAGUUUGUCCAUUGUUCCUGGGUGCCUGUCAAAGGGCACAGCUCUCUGGGCUCUUGAGUAAGUGGUUGACUUGUGGGAUCAGUGGUAUGCAAGGAGCCCCACUGUUCAGUCCGUGCAGCGGAUGCCAGGGGCUCCACUGACUUGGGCACUGUUAAGCUACAGCCCUGACAUGACUGCCCUCUGUCUUCAAGUUGAGUGUCCUGCCCUGCACCUGGUGGGACCUCAAUACGUUUUUUGUUUAAUUGAAAUGAGUCCUUCAUCCCUGGUCCUUAUCACUGUCCCAGCGGAUGAGACCAUCACAAAGGGCUUUCCAUUGAGCCAUUGGUGGCUAUGAAUCAGUCUUUGGGACAUCCCCAGACAUCUCCAGUAUUGAUGUGGCUGCUCAGCCACCCUCCCAGUUAGCACAUCUGCCCUGUCACUGGCACAAAGGACAGAGCCAAGGAGGCUCUGGACGGAGUCUGGUAUAAUGUUCUCCAACAAGUCCCUCACUGUCCACGCCGCUGCUGGGGCAGAAUGCCCCAUGCACCUGCAGUCCUGGAGAUGUGUUUAGUCUUGAGCUUUAGGUCCCUUUUUUUUUUAUAUUUUUUUAUUAAUAAAUCUCUGCAGCAUGUAAACAUAAAAUCAGCUUUACAACUGUAAGCAAUCCUAUAGACUUGCCUGCCUGAUUCCUACCCUCACUUUACAGAGAAGCCACUAAAAGCAUGAUCUGAUAUGAAAUUCCAUUUUUUGAAAGGGCAUUUCUGAGUUUCAAAGACGCUAAGUUAAUACACACUGGACACUGUUGAUAACACCUUUAAAAAUCAUUUGUUGGUCUCUUCAUUGCCUUUGGGAAUAAGAGGAGGGGAAGCCUCCUGUGUGGGGGAUGCCAGGUCAGGGAUCAGAGAGGUGGAGAGUCUCAGGUCUCAGCCCAGGUCCAGGAGGAGGUCUCAUGGGAUGAAGAGAAGGAGGACAGGAGCUGGAGAAGGACCAUGCAGGAAUAUAGCCUGGCUCCCAGGCCCUGAGCCUUCCCACUGAGCUUCACUGCUGGGACUCCCUGGGGAUUCCUAAUCCCCCCUCAUAGAGCAAAGGAAAUGGUGACCUUGGAAUACCCACUGGGGGAGAAACUGAAGAUCUUGACUUAUCUAAGUGAGUUUAGCUGCGGUGGAGUGCUUUCAAGACAAGACUUUUGCCUUUGCAGUCAGAGUGGGGACAGGGAGUGCUCCCCUUUUAGAGUGGCUCACCCUCCCUCACCUGCCCCUUGGCCCUGCAUUCCCACACCCAGGCCAGAACCCACCUUCAAGGAGAGGACGCACAGUGCCCAAGCGCUCUGCAGACAGAUGUGGACUGCACUGAGUAUCUGCUGAUGUCCCUGCCAACUUGGGGAAAGCUAUGGCCACACUUCCUUGGGUACCAUCUACCCCUGCUCACAUGCAUAGCCCCCCCCCCAGCAGCAAAGCUCUGUGCCCACACCAGGGGAUGUUUAGAUGUUUUGCAGGCCCAUCCUAUCUGGGUCCCAUGCCAGCUCUCUGCCCUGACCCCUGCCUGCCCCAGGGUCCCUGUUAGUCCCCCAGCUCAACCCCUUGCAGAGCCAGGACCACAGUCUCCCUGACCCUGAUACUGCCAUCAGUGUGCAGCCUGGGCCCUUUACCCAGACCUCAUGCCCCACCACAGAGGAGGCCAACCUGCUACAACAGGACCAGGCCAACAGUGCUGCUGUUUAAGAGAAGCAUCUGCUAACAGAAAUGGAAAGGUCACACCUGAUACAGGACCCAACCCUGCAGAGACCACCCAUUGUGCACCUCUGCCCAGCUCCUGCCCUUCCACGAGGCAGAGGAUGUCUGUCUUCCUUCCUCCCCCAUCUGGAGAGAUGACCAGCCUCUGGAGCCAGCAGUUGAAGGACCCACCCUUCAAGUCCUCAAUCUGAGCAGCCAACUGUGGCAGUGUGAAGACACGUGUCCCUCAAGAAAUACCCUGCCAGCCUCAUCCUCUUGCCCUCACCAGUGACAGUGUCACCAGCACAUUUCAUAUUGCUGCAUGAAGAACUUUUGGACACAGACUCUCCCAUCAACUUCUCUGGUCUCCCCUUUGAAGAAUGACAGCUCUCGGUACUCAGUGUCUUCCCUGAGUCUAGAUCAUUAGGUCAGGAGAGCAGUGUGUGUGUGUGUGCCUGUGACACUCAGAGCCCAGGCCUCCUAUAAGGAACUUCAGCCACAUGGGGCUUGGUUUGCCCUCCUUCCCAGGACCCUGAGGGUGUCCAUUGUCACCCCUGUAGGCAGCUGCCUGAACAAGGAAACAUCCCCGUCCACAUGGAGCUGCACCCCUGACCAGAGCCAACAGCGUUGUUAUACAGUGUAGCCCCAGCCAGCUCUGUGUCCAUAAGGGAAACAGAAAUGCAGCUUCCCUUACAGCACAGAGAAGAUCUAAGUUGAUUUUUUUAAAAGUCACCUUUGUUAUAUAUUAUUAUUUUAAUCACAUUGAUAAAAAUAUUCCUAAUUCCAGCAGCCUUUUGUUUAGGAGUAUUGACCUUAUUCUAGAACAAGGCUCCUGUGGGUCCCGGCCAUGCUGGAGAUGAGUGAUCUUCCUGAGAAGUGCGCUCAGAGAAGCCAGGCCUCUCACUGCCCAUGAAUAGGAGGCAAAGUCAGGAUAGAACCCAAACUAAUUUCAUAUGCUAGACCCUUCCACAGCUGGACUGAUGUUUUUCAAAAUAAGGAAAAUCGCUGCCCCAAAGAUCCUUCCACUCAUAUCCAACCUCGGAGCCAUUUAGAACCAGAGAGGAACAGUAACACUUCUAUGCAGGGAUCGUGGCAAUAGGAGGUAGUGCAUAUAAACUCGGGCAGUGAUGGGCACCUAGUGGGACUCACCAUGGUGGCCACUUCCCCCCAUGCCCAUUUUUUAAUGCCAGGACUUGGACUUAUUUAAAAACAUGUUUUAAUUCAACUUAAAGCAUGAAAGAAGCCCUUGCCUAGAUAAUGUGGGCCAAGGGUGGGUCUGUGAACACCAGGACUCCCCUUCCCAUGGAAGCUUUUCUGCUCCACCUCUCCACCUCAGGAUUUGGCCCUCGCAUUCCCACCCCCACCUGCGCUAGAGCCCAGGAAUCUGGUGGUUUGUUGUUCACCUGCUUUGAACAAGCCCACGUUCACUCCAUGAUGAUCCACUGCAAGAAAUUCAUUCUAGUUUCUCUAAAUUAAACACAUGGUAUCUGCUUCUUAUUAAAUGAUAUAACAAAGAGGGCCUCUAAGGAGAGGGCACAUAAAAAAGCUCUGAUUGGGCCAAUUAAAAACAAUAUUCUGACUUCAUGCCUGUUACGGUUGAGGUAUGAGGUGUUCCCCCAGAAACUCAUGUGUGAGACAAUGUAAGAAUAUUCAGAGGUGAAAUGAGCAGGUUAUUCGAGUUGUAACCUAAUAAGUGGAUUAAUCCAUUAACUGGAUGGUAACUGUAGGCAGGUAGGGUGUGUGUGGGGGGUCCCUUUGGGGUUUACUUUUUGUCCUGAGCUGCCUUCCCAUACCACACCCUUCUGCCAUGAUGUUCUGCCUCACCUUGCACCCAGAGCUAUGGAGUCAGCUACCUGGGGACUGAGCCCUCUGAGACUGUGAGCCAAAUAAACUUUUCCUCCUCUAAUUGUUCUUGUCAGGUCUUUUGGUCCCAGCGACAACAAAGCUCAUUAAAACAUGCCCCUAUUGACAUGUCAUUACAAGGGGAGGGUCUCCCCCUUCCCUAGUUAUACAAGGGUUAGGAGGCAGACUGGAACCUCUAAGAAGGGUUGACAUAAUCCCUACUGAUGUGUGUCUUAGGGUGACGACCCAGAGAUGCUUGCCUUCUCCCUAUAUGCCUGAUUAAGCCCUGGACCUUCCUGGGAGCUCGGUGGCCAUGGCCCAUAGCAAUUAACCUCCAGCUUCCCAGGGCUUCUCUGGUACCAGGAAGCAGAGCCCAGGUCCCUGCCAGCUACAGAUGCCUCCUCUCUGGCUCUUGCCUGCUCAAGCCAUGGAGGUGCCCAUUACCCUCCCCUAUCUAGCUUUUCCCCUUUGGGUUUUGAACACUUAACCAUCAAAACCUCUGCUCUCACUCCAGUUGCCAAAAAGCCUCAAGCUUUCUGCUUCCUAGAUUGUCCCCAGGGGAAGGGGACUAGGAAACCACCAUCUUCCAGCUGGCAAGACAAGGCGGCUGAGUCAGUGUUCCAGGGCCACUCGUCCUGCUGCAUGGAUUUGCUUUAUCUGCCCCAUGAGGUCAGAAUCCUCCAGGGGACAGGGACAGGGGCUUAUUUUCUUUUCCUUCAUUUUGACUCACCACACCUUAUUGGACGGGGGGAGUCUCACGAGCAUCAUUAACUGACAGUCCCUUCAUCCGCAUCCACCUCGUGCACAGGAAGCUCCAGGUUGUAUCCCUAUAGGAACACAGUUGCCCACUGAAGCCUCACAUCCUCAGGAGAAAGGUAGAAGUUGGCAGCAGACAGGGAGCAACUUUGGAGGAGACACUGGCAAGGGUCCAGGGGGAGCUGUGUGGCUCUGCAAGCCCUAGUAUGCACACUGUCCAGGACGAAGCCUGAGGUGCUGCUAGAAAGCUCAAAGGGCAGACUGGAGCUUUUGUAUAUUGAGACUGUUAACAGGGAACCAAAGAGAAUGAUCUGGAGUUUCUUGCUGUAAUGUCCAACUUUCUGCUGUCAGGGGUCUGCCAGAGGUAGGAGGUGGUGAACAGGUGAAUGAGACACCACACAGAGACAGGUAUGGGGACCAGGCAGGAUCCAAGAGCAUCACAAGGAAAGUCAACUAGAUUAUCAGACACAGUUCUUUUUAAACUGGAAGGAGUAGACUAUUGGGGUAGGGGGAGGGAGACAGUGCAGGAAUGAAGAAGCAUCUAAAAAUAAAGAGAUGACACUAAAACCAGAAAAAUAACCCUGCAUUCUUUUUUCGAUAGAUCCAGAUUUUUAAAAGCAACACUAACACAGAGGAGAUGAAUGGAGCUUUCUUUACACAGCACUUAGGGCAGCCAUGGCAGAUUGAUUGAGCUUGGCAUCUGAGAUCUAAUCAACGCCCAGCAAGAGUCCUAUAAUUGAUUAUUAAUGUCUGCCAAGGGCAUGGGAAGGAGGAGGGUGGGCUCAAUUGCCAUGCAUCUGCUAUCUUCCCUCUCCCGUCUUCUCCAAACCUUCCCUUCCAUCCCCAACCCCCAAAAGAUUUUUAGUAAAGUAAAAAAGGGAGAACCUAGUUGGUCCAACUGUAUGUAGUUGCAGUAAACUAACCUGGGCAUUCAUUUCAUUGUUCACUCAUUCAUUCCAAAAGUUAUUGCUUGUAACUAUACAGAGGCAUUUGGCAGAGUACGUUGGAGAAUAUUGAAAAGAUUCACUGGCUGCUUCAAAUACCUUCCCAUCAAAUUCAACAGAUAGAAUGUGAAAUAUAAUUAGUUGCAAUACAAGGCAAUUUAAGAUAAAAUAAGCAUGAGAUUGAGUUUCUGAAUGUUAGAGCUAUUUGUUCAGUACCUCAAGAGCACUUUUUAAAUGUUUGCACUUUUUUGUUUUGUUUUGUAAAAAUUUGAAAGAAGCUAGUCUUUUCCCUUCCAAAGGGGGGGGGGGCGGAAGUAAUGUUCUGAUAAAGAAGCAUGGUAGAGAAAAUUCCCUGAAGGGUCAAAACAAGUAAGCUAAAUAUUCAAACUUUUGACAGAGGUUUCAAAUAGGCCUAUAGAAUGCAUUUUUUUUUUCUUUCAGUGAUAUUUAAUUCUCAUUUUUAACAUUUUUUUUCUUUCUAAAACUACUGGGUUGUUUUGGGACAUCAUUAUUCUAUGAACUAGAACCUCAGAUAGAAUCUCUGCAUUCUUUUAGCUAAUCCUUUCAUUUCUUCAAACCAGCAGUAUUUACCUGAUUGCAGCAACCUGAGAUGGACCAGCCUACAGUUGUUGUAGGAUUGAGGAGAUGGGACUGAGCCUUCCACUGAAAAAGUAUGUGUUUAUGUAAGAAAGCCAAGUUGCUUUGAGAAGUGAAAUUGUGGUCUUUUAUCACUUUCCUUUCUUCCACUCUCUGGAAAAGAGGACAGGACUUUGAGUCAGCCCAAAGCUCAGCCGGUGCCAGGAACAGCAUAUUUGGAAUAUUUCUUGCACUUUCCUCCUUUGCCAAUGAGACCUGUAGUGUGAGGUAAAAUGCUCGGUAGCUUUAUUUUGUGUAGACCACCUAACAUUGUGGCCAUGGGUGCUCACCAGAGGGCUGUAGAGUGUUUGUGGGGUAUGGAGGCCCAUGGUGCUGGCCACUGCGUGAGCCUCAGGAGCUUUGCAGGCAGGAUCUUCAGGGAACUGCGGCUUCCAUGGAGGAGAUGGGACCAUCCUGGUGGUAGCGAUGGGCAGGGGAUGUGGCUGGAGUGAGAACCCAUGGUGAACAUGCUUGAUUUCUAGAGCCUCUUUCUUGCGGGGAAUGUGGUGAUGUUAAUAGCAUCCUAGUAUUAAUCUAAAAAUAAAGUCUGUAAAGUGUUUGGUGCUUCCCGAAGACAAAACCUGUUUCCUUAAUCCUCCCUGGACCAGCAUUGGUGGCUCCUUUCCUCCCCAGAAAAGAGCAUGGCCCAGCACAACCUUCCCUCUGUCAUUGUAAAAUGUGGGGCCUCUGAGUCAUGAUGCUGACAGGGCCCUCAGCUUUCUUUGGCUUUCACAGUUGUCCCUUGUGUCCCUUUUCAUGUUUGACCCCAGGUGCAUCCUGGAUGCAAGCUCACUCUUGGUCUGUUUUGAAGCCCCUCAGCAUUUGCUGGCGCUCUGCUGUUUUGUAAUGGCGGGACUUGGGCCUUUCCUAUUACACUGGAUCCUCACUCCGUGAUGUGGUGAGCAGGGCACAGGGAAGAAGCCAGCCGCCCUGCAGCUCUCGGGCUUCAAGGAGGGAACCACAGUCUUCACCAAGGUGCCUCUGUGUCCUCUGUGUAUUUCCUGCCCUGAUUCCACCCCUUGCCCCCACAGUCCAUCACAUGCACUAUGAAUCCCAGCCACCUGCCCUCAGUCUCUGGCUGGAAGACUCACUGUUUGGCUGCCCUUCUCCAGACCUGUCCUGUAAAUUUCUGCCUCUCCGAAGCCUCCUUACUCUGACCAUUUCCCUUCCCCGAUCACGGCCCUCACCCUAGUUCUCUCUUUACCACCAACACCCCCAUCAACCUCUCACUCUAGGGCCCGUUACCUUCCCCUCUAAAAAUCAUUUGAUGACUGGCUCCUUUAAAGGGGGUCUUAAGUGUGACAGCCCCUCCUACUGUGGCCCCCAGCUCCCUUCCUGGCCUCUGCUGACCACGCAUUCAGCAGCUGGCUGUCCUCAGAUAUGCUAUCUGCCUGUCUCUCAUGAGCCCCGCCCCUGGCCAUCCCAAACACCGGAAUGUCCCCUCAAUACCCUCCUCUUUCUUCCCCUUCCCUGUUGUUUUGUAUGGCCACAUGCCCCUCCUCCCGGGGCUCGCCCUGGUUCCCCUGUCUGUUGCUCAGCCCAUGCUAACUCAUGAAUACACUUCCCUAUGUGUGCUUUCCUCCUCCCAGAGAUCCUUAGCUUCUAAAAGGAAGUAGCCAUCCUCAUUCUUCUCCAAUGUUGGUGGAGUGGACUUGGAUCUGUCGUCUGGGGUUGGAUUUCCACUUCUGUCCAGGGAAAGUGAAAGGCUUCAGGCUUCUUGGAUCUUAGGGUGACUUCCCAGAAAAUUGUUACACGGGAAAUAUUGAGGGGUUCAUUAUUCAAAAGGCAUAAGGAAUAAUUGUUUUUAAGCACAUUUUGCUCUAGUAUUCUCUCCUUCUUACUUCAGCAUUUCGGAAGUGAGUUCCAUUUUGUUCACCUCAAGUGGCCCAGCAUCAGACACGGUCCCAGAGCAUAAUACGUGACAUCCAGGGCUUUGGGUGGGCCAGCAUCAGCAGUAUCUGAGCUCAGCCCAGCCCCUCCUCAUUCCGGUCUGCUCCUUGCUUGCUUCCUGCUGCCAGCAUGCCCUCUCCUGUGGAUUGUGGAUCUAGUUCUCAGGAGUUGUGUCCUCUUUUCCGGAGGGCUGGGAAUGGAACCCAGGGCCUUGCACAUGCAGGCACGCUUCCGGUAGCUGCACCCCCAGCCUGUGGCCAUCUUCUGGGAAGGAGCUCCUCCUCCACCUAGAGGUAGUGAGGUGGACACUGUGAAGUCAGAAGAAGGCUUUCUGUCCCCCGAGAAGUGCUUUAAGGCAGGCAGGUGUGUUGUUUUUUGUUGUUUUUAAGUGAGACAAAUGUGCUUUUCCAAAGACUCUGUGUGUGUGCUUACACCCCUGAGUCUGCUUGAACAUCUAACACCUACCAGCUCCCUGACAAGAACAUUUGUGGCAGAUAAAAGGCAUUAAAAAGUCCUGAGAGUGAAGCGGGAUGAGUCACAGAGAGAGUGAGCCUGCCAGAGCCUUUGAGAGCAGCUCAGUUCCCACUUCCCUCAGGCCUCUGCCAGGCAGGGGUUCACAGGUGGGUGUGAGCUUCCCCACUCCUCUGGCUCCCUGCCACCUGCAUACCUCCCAGGACCUGCCCCUCCCUCCCAGCCCAGGCCCACUGCAUGCCCUGCUGGGCUCACCUGGCAGCUGUGGCUGUGGGAACCAGCCCUGGGCUGCCUUUGCCCCAAAUGACAAGACUGAGCUGUGAGUUACUAUGUGUCACCCUGCAGUAUUCAUGGCAGCAGGGUAGAACGGCAGGGCAACGUGGCCCCCUAAGGCCAGAGAGAUUAGACAAGUGCCUGUAAAACGGCUGAGGUAAGAUUUUCAGCAGGGGAUCGCAGGGAUCCACAGGCUCAAAGUGCCAUCUGCGGCAAGGGUCAAGAACUUGGUGGUGAAUGCCAGAUGGUUUUGCAGGGCCUGAUGUUUUUUGAGGUCUUUCUGUAUUGCUCAGAGCCGAUUUCAGAAAUCCUGGGUUCCCCAGUGGAGUUGGAAGGAGACAGGGAUACUCAUCACUGAGAAGGGAGAAUGCCAAGGCUUUGGUGGGAGAUGUGUUUGGGAAGUAAGGAAGAUGGGGAAGAGGGGGUUGGAGAAGUCUUGGACCCUGCUUUCCCCCCAAGGGACCUAGGAUUGCUACUGACCAAGCCCGUGGUCUAUGCAAUGGCUGCCUUUCUUCAUAACCCAUUCCAGUUCUUCCCCUGGGUUUAAGUGAAGGGAGAUUCUGAGUCACAGGAUUAUCUUUACCCAGUCUAUGGAGAACCAAGGGGUCGGAGCAACAUAGACACACGUGUCCAUCAGGAGAACAGAAACUUAACAGAUGUUCAGUUAAGCACUCUCUGUUCAUCACUGAAACAGCAGCCCUCGAACGAAGGUAGUUGGACAGGCAAUGCCUCUAUCUCACACUGCUUUGGGGUGUGUCCUGCCCUAUGUCCUGGAGCACACCUGGGCACACCAGGUGCAACCAAGCUCCGUGGGCUAUUUUGUAGUCUGAGGUCAAGCUCUUCUGGAGAACCAGUGAGUGCCUUUGGGCAGGUUUUGGAAAUUCAGUUGCAGGUCAAAAGGCUGAGCCUCCUGGGAUUAUGGAAAUACCAGGACUCCAGGUUGGACCCUGCAUCCCAAAAGUGAAAAGGUUCCUCACCCCCUGGGAGUCACAGUGCUGACUGUUGUAAAGAAGGAAGUGUGACAGCAAAAAUGUGUUUUUGGCCAAUUUUAAUCAAACCUGGACAAAAGUUGGGUUGAGCCAAGAGUUGGAAUCUUGCCUCGUCUUCUUUUGUUUUCAGAUAGGUCUGUUUUUCCCAAUUACUAGACUCCAUAACAGAACACAGUGUACUUAGUUAGGGCACACAGUUUGAAUUAUUUGUGGUUCCACCAGAAGUUCAGAAGUGGAAUGUGCUUUAUUAAAAAAGCCUGAAAGAAGGUAGCAAAAAAAGGGAAGAGAAGAAAGAAAAGCAAAGAAACUGGCCACAGAUCUGCCUAUCAAACAGCCAGUGAGUGUGCCCUGAAGCAGAAGAACAGCACAUCCCCGCAGCCAGUUGGCAGCAGAGAGGGACGCAGGCUCCCCUACCUGGCUGUUCAUUUGACAGGCGCCUCGGGAACGGCAUUCAUCAUUUUGGACUUAGAAAAGGAGCAUCGUUGGUAGGGAUGGUUUAACUUCUUCACCAGUUUUUCAGGCAUGGUGUGUGUGUAUGUGUGUAUGUGUGUGUGUGUGUGUGUGUGUGUUUUAACCACCAUACUGCAAUUUAUUCAGGAAGUUAAUUGCUUUAUUCUUUUACAUUGACCUUGAGAGUAUUUCAUAUCUGAGAAAAGUGACAUUUUGGUUUUCUAAUUUAGAAGCACAAAGGGAGUUGAGAGAGAUAGUAUAUGAGCCUGAUUCACACUUUGGGGAAAAGUGGUCCGGUUUAAAUUAUAGGCUCUUGGAACUGGGAGCAAAGAUAACAUUAUUAGACUUAUGCAUUAAAUAUGAUUAAUGGCACAAUGGGGAUAACAUCGAUGUCCCUGCGUGUGUGCCACUGUGGCUUGCAUUUCAUCCCUGAAAACCUGUGCAGGUUGAAGGAUGUAGGUCUGCACCGUGGACUCGCUGAUUCAAACUUCCCUGCAAGUAGCAAACGCUGGAAACCCUUAGCCUAUGGAUUCAUAGGAUGCCGUUUUAGAAAAGAGGGACCCCCCCCCCCCGCCACAAAGAAGCAUACUAAUAGAAACGCCAGCCCUGAGUGUUAGGGUCACUUUGAGACAAAUUAAUGGAAAGAAGAGGAUAUCAAAAGUCAGUAGCCUGGGGAUGGAGGGAUAGGGAAUUUAAACUCACCUGAAUCAGGUGCCGUUCCACAAUGUGUACAUUUAUCAAAUCACCAUGUUGUACACCAUAUAGAUGUUUUACUUGUCAACUCAAGAUAAUGAAAAAAAUUCUUAUAGGAUAGCCAGUUUGGUUUUACAUGUGAAGUGAGCCGGUUGGUCCCUAUUAGAUCCCACUCCUCCCCCAGGGUUGGUAAUCUCCGAGGCCAGCAAAUGCUUCUAAAAUACAUUUUGGGGAUGCUUUGGGGGCUGUCUCAUCUCUCAGUGGGAAGAAGGAGAGUUCUUUCUCAGCUGACAAAGCCAUAUUUAAAACAUCAUCAUUUUGGAAGGAUGGUGGAGGGGCAGGGGUAAAAUGUAGCUGUCACCUUCUCCUCCCCUUGGGAACAUGUGAUGUCUUAGUUUUCACAAAGAAGAAUAAAAUAAAAGGUGGGGGUGGGACUUUUCCUAGGAGGUUAGCAGGGUGGCAGAUGCUAUCCUAUAAAUUACUUUGGGGUUUAUGCAACAAUCUAAGAGACAAAUCAAACUUGAAAAUAACUUACCUUCUUUUCCGCAUCCAUAUCAGUAACUUGUGUUUGUUUUGUUUUGCUUUGCUUUGCUUUUUGUAUGCUUGAAAAAAUUAAUCCUACUGCAAAAUUUUUAUGCUUCCAUUAAAAAAUAGUUUCUCUUUUUUUUUGAAAAAGCACCUCUAUUUACUUUUUACUUUUAGAUUCACUUCUAGAUUUUAACUCACCUUCUAGCCAUUAAAACAGAAAUGUAGCUACUAGUCAUCUGCUGUUAGAGAUUAAAUUUACAAGUUACUUUUUUAUUAUUACUAUUAUUAUUGCUAUCAUUGCCAGCAUCUAUUAUUCAUUCAUUGUGGUGUGAAGAACAAAACUGAUGAAAAUUAAUUUUUAUCCCCAUAUCCAAACCUGCCCUGUUUGCCAGUUUCAUCAGCAAAAAACACUUUUGGAAUAGGUCUCAUAGUUAUUUUAAUCCUUUUAAAGUGUUGGUUCCUGCCCAGUAACUCCUGAGCUGGCUCUCGGGCACUUGUCUGCCAAAAUAUGCUGAUGGCAUCCCUGACAGUUGAUCAUAAACUGCCAGAGAGCUCAGCCGAGGCUGGAGCCAGGUCCUCACAGUCCCCAUCACGGUGAAAGGGAGCCUGUCCCCACAGGCAGCUCUGCACAGACACAGGACCUGGCUGUUGUGCAAAAAGAGAAUGGGGGUCUGUGACAGGCCAAAUGUGCAUGGGAGGCAGGGACAGAAUUAGAAAGGGCAGCAGUGGGGAGCACCAAGGCACAUUGAGCAGUGGGUCAGACAGAGUCCCUGAUGCAGAGCAGAUGAGCAGUUACAAGAAGCAAAAUAGCCAGAACGAUGACUGAUAGGAGGCUGAUAAACAGGAGUGUUUUUGAAGGCUUGUUUUCCACAUUGAAUGUGGAGAAAAGUACAAAGUGGAGAUAACAGAAAAGUCCUACCUAAAGAAGCCUGUGGGGCAGUCAUUGUAGUCUGGGGACAGGGGAGGGGGCAGUGCAGCUCUGCCAUCUCUAGGAAGCCAAAUGGGAGAAGGCUAGUGGGAUGUAACACCUGGAUUGGGGGCAACAGCCCCAGAGAGGACCAGCCAUCCAUUCAGCCAAACCUGCUUUAUGAUCUGACCUAUGUCCACGCAGUCACCCUGCAUGCCCUCUUUGGCCCCUUUUGUGAUAGUGCCACUCACUGCCUCUUUCCUCUGGGGGACAGGUGGAGAGGAAGCAGUUACAAUUCUGUGUGGUAAGCUGGGGGUGCUGGGCUGCAGGAACCCCAGGGAGAUAAGCAUUUAGCUGGAGCCAGAGCUCAGAGCUGCCUAACUGUGAAGGGGGUGGGCGGAGGAGGCUGUGGAAUCUUAGAAUCUAGGAGAAUUUCAAGGAGAGUAGCAGCCCAUCUCUCCCAAGAGGCAUGGUCUGGUUUAAAAAAAAAAAUUAAUUGCAAUUUUUUUUUUUUUUUUAGCCUAGACCGGGCAUAUUGAACCUUCCUAGACCAAGAGGCAGCCAGUGGGAGUUAGGAGAGAUCCUGAAAUCAGUUUCAUUCUAGCGACUCGUGAGCUAUAACUAAUAUUUGCCUCUACUCCCUGAAACCAAGAGACGCUCACAGAGGUCCAACUCCCCUGGGCUCCUGUGGAUACCAUGUGGCCCCGCAGGCAGACGAUGGCAUCUCUACACAGUUGUUUCUUUUAACUCUAAAGAGGGACUUAUGCAAUCUCACAUGUGAUAAGAUGAAAUGAAAGCCCUGGAAAAGUGGAAUGCUUGUCUCCAGCGUUGAGGAAGCCCCAGGAUCUGGCGUGCUCUUGGUGCCUGGCUCAGAGAGUAGCUCCAGUGGACAUUUGCCGUUAUCACUACCAUUCCACAUCUACAGUGACCCAUGGGCUCCAAAUGCUUGCACACCUGACCCUCACUCACCCCCACCUCAUGAUGUAGGUCAGUCAAUAAGCUCCCUGAUAUUGAGAUGGAGUAGGGAGUGUGUUAAAAUGAGCAGUUACAAGAAGCAAAAUCGCCAUUGUACUUCCAUACAAUGGAAGAGUGGAGGCCGGAGUAAAAGGGAGGCUGGGGAAGAAGGGAGGCUGGGGAAGAAGAGUACAUAAAAGAAAAGAUGGAAGAUUGAAGGAUGGGGGGCGGGCAAAAAAUUCCUUUUCCUCUACCCAUCCUAGCUUCUCCAGCUGAAGCCCUGUCAAUUAGACUGUCAAAAGACAGGUUAACAAGAGGAAAAAAGCACUGGGUGCCCAAUGAUGUGUACCCAGGGGAAGGGCCAGAAAUUGGGCUUAUGUAACAUCUUAGACUAAACAACGGAAAGAGGUUUGGGGUUUCUGGGCUGGGAAGGCAAGUCAUGAGAAGGAAAUGUAUGGUAAACGAGGGUUGUUGCCACCUCCAUUGAUCCAGAGUUGAGAGUCUUCCUCCUCCUGGCCAGGGAGAAGAGACACCUUUUACAAAUGGAAACUUCUCUUAUUUCCUUUACCAAAGGAAAACUUGUGUUUUACUUUUCAUGCUUUUUCUGCUUCUGCUGGUUCUCUUGGCCUUCAGCUUUAAAAUAAUCCAUGCCAAAGAGGUGUAUUUAGAGGUGGCAUAUUCUGGCACUUUUCAGAUAGCAGGAAGGAGAAUGUUGGAGCAGUGGUCCAGUUUCUUGCACUUGGCUUUUGCUCUUUUCCCUCCCCAUAGCAGUAAAGAGAAUCUGUAAGACUUGGUUGCCUUUUAAAAAUUCAGUGAAAAUUUGAGCACCUCCCAUAUCCCUGUAUACAUUCCUACCCUCCAGGAGUUUACAACUGAAAAAAAAAAGGAAGGUAAGCUAAUUUGUUGAUUACUCUAAUGCACAGGGGAAGUAAUAAAGGCCCUACGCAGGGGCAUAGGGAGUAGACCAAAAGUCCUGAGGAAGUAUUAGUGACUGCUAGCUGGGAACCACCCUUAGAAGAUAGGGAACUGAUGCUGCAGAGUCCUGUGUGGAAGUCCUGGCCCUCCCUUGUGGGGACUGCCUAUGGCUCCUUAUGGUUUGCAUAUAGUGUCCCUGGAAAUGGAGGGGAAACUGGCAAAAAUAAAGUAAAAAAAUGUAGGUUAGGACUGUAUUAUGAACAGCCCUAAAUAUCAGUCUAGGAAACAUGGGCAUCUUUUUUUUUCUUUCUUUCUGGUGAACAUGGAGUGAUUGCAUCCAUAUUUUGGAAUACCAUGCCAUCGCGAGCAUAUGCACCAACAUGAAUCAGUUUCUGAGACCUGUUGUUCAACGGAAAAUACGAGUGGCAGAAAAAUAUGCCCAGUGUGAUAUCACCCAUGGAGAAAAGAUGACACAAAAUGAUUCUCUGUGUUUGUGUGGGUUCUGUGGGGUCUGGAAGGACCCACACCAGACUGCUCACAGCCGUUACCUUUAGGGCAAAAAAAAAAAAAAAAAAAAAACAAAGAACUAG